rnacentral:lncRNA from 1 species
UUUUUUUUUUUGAAGGUGGUCAUUGCAAAACUCCGUUCGGUCUUUCACAAAGAGAAAGGAGGUCGAGCCAUUUUCCAAGUUCAAUUCAUAUUGGAAAUCAAGUGAGUCCAAACUAUACUAAAACAUAGUACUCCUAUGAACAAACUAAUAUCCUUGUCCAUACAUCGCCGGGAGGAAAUAAAUAGGAGCUAAGAUAUUUCUGCAACAAAAUAUAACACCCAGAAUGUCCCAUCGUUAUCUUGCGUCACCAUAAGAAGUCAUCAGCAUUGGUAAACCUGAAAUCCCACAUGUCAGAUAUUGUGGAAUGAUUCCAUGCCAGUCUUUUAACAUAAAAAAAAUACAACCAUCAAAAUUCCAACAAUAUAGAACAUGGAUGCACAUCAUGCAGCUUAUUAGGAGCCUUGGCCUCACUUUGGCCCCAGCGUGCAUGUAAUACCAAGAACACUAUCAAGCGUAAAGUUAUAAUGCUUAUGACACGAUUAAUGGAACUGGUUUGAGAUGAAAUGUGCAAAACAAAAUGGUAGAAAAGGUUCAAAAAGCUUACAAUGUGUCAGUUAAGCAUUGUUUUCUCAUUCUGAAGCAUGACAGAAUUCAACAGACAAGGUGACGCUUCUUGUACCACGUUCAAGGAGAUCAUAAACUUCGAGCUACAAGAAUCGAAGGAACACAAAUAUUAACAUUUAUUUGUUAGUUCAAUUAAUACUAGUUGGAAUGGCGCGCCCUGCGCGUCUUGAUAAAAAAUAUUGACUUAAAGCAUCAAUAAAAAAGAACACAAACUUUUUUGGCAUUUUCAUAUUGCAAAUAAAUUCAAACAUACCUUGAGAUCUACAGUGGAGCUUGAAUCAGUGCUUCCCUGCAAGAAUCCCCAACCAAGAGAAAGAAGAUAAUCUUCCAACUGCAGAUAAAAUUUGACAGUAUCAGCCAUAGUGAUAUCUUCUAGAUGAAAACAAGCAAUAAUUAUUAGAUACAAUUUUCACCUGAGGUAGCGCUUGAUCACGCAGCCCAUCAAAAGAAACAAUCACAUCUCCAUAUCUAAUGCCAAGCUUCUCAGCAGUAGAACCAAUUGAUACCUAGAUAGGUCAAAAUGAUUACAGUGUUACCCAGUCUCAAUAGAGCUCCAUACACACUGAACAGAAUGGAGUCAUACCUUAUCUACAAUGUAGCCGUUGUUGAUGUUGUGAUCAAGAGAUAUCACCGCCUGGAGCGACACCUCCAGCAGCUCCACUGUCCUUAAGCUCAAACCAUGCUCGGGGCGAGCAAUACGACUGAAAUAAGUCUGACUGAACCAAUCAGCUUUAAAAUAUUGACCACAAAGCAGCCAAAGGCAUUCCAUACGAUCGUAUCAUUGUCACCUAAAUAGUUAAGUGAUAUAUUAGCUCGAGGAUCAUUUGGUAUGUCUUAAAAUACUACUGGUUUUCAAGUGACAUUUUCCCUAUUAAGGGUACACCACUAAUUCUAGUUCAAUGUCAUACUACAGGAUAACAACGUCAUGCAUGAAACUGAUUAUUUAGUAUAAUACUUCAGGGUCAUAAUCUAAAAGGGGAAUAUGGUUCUGGUGGUCCUCGGUCGUGUUACUAGUUUUGUCUGUGGCUUGCCUGUAAUAGUUCCUGUUGGGUGUGAUUGCGUGGGUGUUCUGUACUUGGGUUGGGUCUUGACCGACCCUUUGUACUCCUUUUUUCUACCUUGAUGAAAUGACACGUAGGCAUGCAGCUCUACUGCGUCAUUCGAGGAAAAAAAGGAAUAUGCUCAGAAAAGUUGUUUUCCUUCUCCCAUGGCUUUCACUACGAGCUUUACAGGGUACCAUUCAAAACAAGGUUGGUCGUCUAUACGAGCCAAUUGAAAUUGAUUGCCCCCCAGAUAGUCCCUUACUUAUGUUGAAUUGUUGAUAGCCGUUCAAGCUCCUCGUGUUAGAUUCGACUUCAAAAGGCAUUAGGUCUUAAGACAUAUUCAAUAAGCUCUAUGGACCAGAUUGCAUUUGUUGAAGUGAAUCAAGCUAAUAGCACGUUUGCACUUAAUACCAGGUGUAUGCACAUAAAAUUGGAACUUGUCCAAAGUCUGAGCAAAUGCCAUUAUACUGGAUGAUUUGGAUGUUUUAACUGAUCCAAGCUUGUACAUGUGGCAUGACGGCAAUGCCACUAGCCAAUUUUCAUGUCUACCUAGCAGGCUAGUAGCAAUGUUGACGCGAUGCCCUUUCAAACUUUGGUAGUAUGCGAGCUCCCACUUUUAGAUUCAUUAAACAUGAUAGAAUAUAUUUCUACAUGGGGUAAGGGGCAAGUUGCUCAGCUAAGUGAGUAUAAAGUGUUAAAAUGCAAAUUCUAUAAACAUCAAACGAAUUGCUACAACACUGCUUAUAACUCAAAAAAGUAUGUCAAUUUUAAAACCAAUUAGAUGUUAUAGACACUAAGCAAGUUAUAACAUCAGUGCAACAACGAUAACAGGUUAACAAACCUGAACUUCAUCCACAUUUCAAUGCAUGUGAGGAUGGUGGAGAUGGCAAGAAUACUAGAAUUUGGAAUUUGGACCACCAUUAUCAAAUGCCAUCCCAACGACACUGCUGCCAUCAUGAUCAAUCACUGGUCCUCCAGUGCCAUACUACAUCUUUUUCGAGAAUACGUAGGACAGCUGUGUAUCUUUAUAUUAUAUAAAAAGAUAAGUGCCAUACUACAUCAAAGAAAUACUACUGAGUAAGCUGCGUGAUGAAACAAUAAUACAGUGCUGGAAAAUAAUAAUACAAUUAUUACAUUAGGAGUAUUGCAGCUAAGCAACAUGAGGUAGUUGCGGUUUAAAUAUUUUGGAUCUUCGAACCACAGGACCCUCCCAUGCCUGGCCAUCAGAUUAGAAUCUUUGCCCCUAGCCAAAAUGAAAACCUCCUGACCGUAGUUUGGAUUAGAUCCAAAAGAAGGGAGCUGCAAAGGUAAGUCUGACUCUGACGAGAUCUCCAAUAAAGCAAUAUCAUAAUACUUAUUGAAGAACAAAAGUUGCCCCUCUAAGAUGGUCCUAUUUGGCAAGCCAAUGUGUAGCUGAAAGGGUAUAAGAGCUUUGAUUAGAUAUGUUGUGCUACAGGGUCAAGGGAAUAGCCUAUCAGAUAAGCACCACGCAAAAAAAAGUAACUCUAAAAAGACAAAAAAAACCCAUAGCUUUGAUAUGUGCAGAGUGAGCAGAUGAUUCCAUAAUGUGGGGGCACAGGAAGUGUGUUGAAGCUAGUACUAGCGUGUCCGUGUUAUGGAAUGAGAGCGCAAAAGGAUAAUAAGAGAUAAGCAUAACGAAAGAUGCUAUACAAACUGUACCUAACUUGUCAGAAAAAAUGAAAACAAAACAAGACAUAGGCGUGCAAGUAUAUUUACAUGGACAUCAUAAAAACUAGUAUAAUUGAACAAGCAGGACAAGAUCUAAAAUGAAAAUGAACAGAUAAUGCAUGUGGGCGUCUUUAGUGUAUUCAAACACCAGGAAAACAUGAACAUAAUCGGUAGUAAGCCAUCAAGGCGGACACAUACAGGUGGGGUGCUAAAUUACUGUGCAGACAAACAUCUGAAUUCUACAAUGUAGCAUGCUUGUUGUGGCUAAGGCAAGCUGAGGCAUGUGAAGGCGUCACACAUUUUAAACACAAGAGAAUGAGCUAUUACCUGCAGGCUGCAAGCACUACAGUGCAGAGUAGAAGACAUCAUUUUUCAAAGAAUUGAACAUUACCUGGAUUACGCUGGUAGACAUUUUGCAAUAGAUGUCAACGAUUAGUGAAAGAAUGUGACGGAUGUGAUAACAGAGUACGCAUAUAUUCAGUAGAAGGCUGCCAUUGUGCCACAACAAGAGAAGGACAACACUAAUUUGUAAAGUUAAGGCAAGUCUUAAGGGUGUAAUACUCAAGGGUAGUAUUGUAAUCUCCUAAUUCAACAUAGAAAGCUUUGUCCGUACCUUAAUGUUGGGACCAAGUCCAUCAACAAUAUCAGAGCUAGUCAAUAUCCUUGCGCACUUCUUGGUCUCUUUCCAGCAGAUGACAAUUCCAGUUUGUUGGUCAAUGACCUUCCCAUCUGCAAACCAUGUGUGGAUGUUAUCGUCAGCUUAGGCGUAAUAAAUCAGGCUUGGCCGAUUUUACCAAGCGCAAUGGAGGAGACGCUAACGGUUGAGCGUGCCGCAUCCCGGACCAGCGCCUUGUCUCUUGAGCUGGCCACACUCUCGGCCGCCGACUUUUUUGUUUUUUUAACCCUUUUUUCGAAAGAUUCUCACAAAUACGCUCCUGGCGGAACCAAUUUCAAAAAUGGACCCUUAGCUUACACGUCUAGACGCCAGCCAUCCUAGCGCCAAGGUCCAUGCGCAGCUGCUGAUGCGGAUGCCGACGUGAUCGAGGCUUGGCGCCAUCCAUGAUGGCGCCAAGCCUUGGCGCCGUAGAUCUUGGCGCCAAGCUUGGCGCCAUCAUGGAUGGCGCCGAGCAAUUUUACCUCCUGGCGUUUCAAACGAGAAACAAGUAUAAUUAUUGCGAAGAGUGUGUAACAAACCACACUCUAGUUCAACUGGUUAGAAUGUGGGCUUCUUAUCCAAAAGACUUGAGUUCAAACCCUAGUGUUGAAUCUUUUUUUCCUGUCUUUGGUAUAAGAAACCCACACCUAACCAGUUGAAUUAGAGUGUGGUUUGUUGCACACUCCUCGCAAUAAUUAUACUUGUUUCUCGUUUGAAACGCCAGGAGGUAAAAUUGCUCGGCGCCAUCCAUGAUGGCGCCAAGCUUGGCGCCGUCGGCAUCCGCGUCAGCAGCUGCGCAUGGAUCUUGGCGCCAGGAUGGCUGGCGUCGAGAUGUGUAAGCUUGGCGCCAGCGUGGAUGGCGCCAAGCUAAGGGUCCAUUUUUGGAAUUGGUUCCGCCAGGGGCGUAUUUGUGAGAAUAUUUUGCAAAAAGGGCUAAAAAACAAAAAAGUUCGCUCUCGGCCGUUUCCGGAUCCUCGAGCUCCACCACCGUAGGAAGAUUGUCACGAGGAUCUACAGAAUGGUGGAAUAAAAGAUGCAGCAAAGGUUAAUUGUGCAGUAGCAACCGUUCCGAGUUUUGAGUUGAGAAGACGGUGACCUCUUGCAGCAGGCUUGGAGAUCCACCUGCGUCUAGUGCUAGGAGGGAGCGGUCGGGUCAUGGUGUGGGUGCGGCAGGUAAGGCAUUGGAACCAUCUCCUGCCACCGCCGCCGCCGCCGCCUUCCUCUGCUGCUUCUCCUCGCCGUCAGUGGUGCUCCCGCCCACCAACUCCAUCGCCGCCGCCUCAAUUUUGAUCCUCUUGUUAGGAACCGACCCCUGAUCUCUCGAUUCUUUCGUUUCCAAUGCGUCGGCCAGCGGGCCCGGACUGCCUCUCCUCGCCGCCAUUAACGGCGAUCAGCCCUUUGGCGACCUCCUCUCCUCACCGCUCGAACCUGCGACGUGGGUUAGAUUGGAACAGGUACUUCAAUAGUUAAACCUUUUCUUUUUUUAUGUAGAUGGAGGCGAGGGAGUAUAUACUGUGUACCUGAUUGUACUACUAGAAUAGUAUUCUGGAGCAAGUCGAAGUGCCGAACCCGACUCCGACACCAAAUAUGGGCUCUCCUUUCCUGCGAAUCUUGCCGUUUGUUGUCCCAUGGCAAGGUGUCGAGCCACGCGGGGAAGGAGAGUGCCGGAGGUGCGAACGACAACGAGAGCAUGCCGUUCUCCGGCGUCUCUCUGCUUAAAGCCGUUGGUGGAUUCCCAAGUAAAUAAAACAUUACUCUCAGUAAAAGGAGUUCAAUCAAAUUUGGGGACCGAAUUGGUAGGCAUGGAGGGGAUUUUGGGCCAUUUUGCUUUGAAAUUGGUGGUGUUAAGGUAGGUGGGAGUCUCAGAGAUUGGAUGGAAGAAUUUGCAACUCCUUUAAGUUAUUAACCUUAAUCGUUAUUACAACUCUCUCAUAUAAGGAUCUUUAUAGGAGAGAGUCGCUCGUCUCUCACCUUAUAGCUACUUCUCCAAUUGUGACACAUUUUAUCGCAUCUGCAUCCCUUGAUCGGCAUCGCGCAACUUAUAACCCUCUAUCCGCCUCGUCUAUAUCCCCAAUACCAUUAUUAAGUUGCAUUUUCUCUGAAAUAGGCCCAAGCCUAGCAAUCUCUUGUAGAUGAGCUUCAACUCACCACUAAUCUCUCUUCUUUUUGUCUGGAAUGAGCAGUACAUCCGUUAGUUUUUAGUAGACGCGUCAUAGCUUUAAAAAGUAUUUGAAGGAGCAUCCUCUUACAAUGUAUCAUCAAUUGCUUACAAGAUCAAUGGUGUAUUGAAAUAAGAAACUGUUCAUAUAAUUUUUAUAGACUAAGAAAUGCAUAUAAUUGUUGAUCAAAGUUUAUGGUGUUUGACUUUCUAGAAUCCUAAGAUGCUUACUAAAAACGAACGAAGCAAAUAUCUGACAGUCCUAACAUUCUAGGAAACAAUUAUGAUCCUCUUUCGUAUACACAGGAAACAAUCUCGUGGGAUAAACCCCGAGAAAGGCAAAAAAAAGUUCAACCAUAGACAUGUGAAGAACUAACCAUAGCUGGAGGAGAACAAAACCAAUCAAGUGACAAGUGGGCCACCAACUAGUACUGGCCCACAAGUCAUGCUCUUCGAUGGCACCGUUGAAAUAUCUUCAGGUCUUCUUUAAUUAGCCGGGUCCACUAGCCGAACCGAGUGUACUAUAAAUCCACACUGCGCCCACCCGCUCGCAAAAAGUUUCAAUCUGGAGUGUCGCUUCUUUCAAAUCCAUCCUCCCUUGCUUCCCGUCCCCGCUUCCUCGUACCAAAUCUAGGGUUUCCGAUCGAAAUCCUCCGCCUCCGCCGCCGCCGCCGCCGCCGCCACCACCGGCGAUAAUGUCGGCCAGCGCCGAGCCUGAGAAGGACGCCGCGGCCGCGGCCGCGGCCGCCGAGGGCGACGAGAAGGCGGAGGCGAAGGGCAGCGGCUCCGGCUGGGAGCUGCUGUACUGCGGCGGGACGAGCUUCGACUCCAUGGGCCGGAAGGUGGUGGGCGGGGCGCAGGGCAACCUGGUGUCGCCGACGCGGUUGCGCCCGCUCGUGGGCGUCGACAUCCGCUUCGUCGGCUCUGGCUGCAGUGAGUUCCCGGUGUCCUUGCCCACGAUUGAGAUGAUGUGUACGCUAGCUUUUGGCGGGAUGUGAGGAGCUGGAACUGAUUGAUGCUUAGAAAUGCUUAUAUUAGUUUGUGAUCAUAGAUGCAAUCAAACGAAGGCAGGACGAGUUGGUCUGUAGCUCUUGUUUGGAGUUGGUGGAUGCUUUCAGUGGUUGGAUCACUGGAUGAGUUCACGCUGAAAUGUUAGCCUGUCUGGUUUUAGCAUGUCUGUACAGGAAAUGGCGGCAAAAAUACGAUACUAUGGUCCAAUGAUACUAUGUUUGUUGAAUCGAAUAAUGCAGCGAACCUAGUUACAAUCCCUUGAUGAAUUUCAGUUGUAAAUCACGAUCGGAAAAUGGUGAACAAUUCUAGUCAGUUACUUGAACAAUGGAGUGGUAUGCACAGUUGCUUGGAAUUAGAAAAAUAAUGCGCCAACUGCCAAUAGAGUAUUGCUUCCUUGAGAAAAUUAGUUUAGGGAGCAAAUGCAAAAGUAAUUGAAAAGACCUUGUAAUUUCAUCAAAAGAUGUAAUUCAGAUAGCUGCAAAAUGGAUUUGAUUAAGACUAUGGGGGUUUAAGAACUAACUGGCACUGACUUUGUUACUAUAUUUCCCAUGAUGAGCCUGCAUGCACACCACAUGUGCGCGCGCAGAGGGUGUGGGGUUGAACAAAUACAAACGGGUCGGUCUACUUGGACCAAAAACAAGAGUCGAAGUGAUGGGAGCCCUAAAAGUCGAGUCCUACCCACAUGCAAAAAAAAAGGCGCUCACAGGGUGAGGAGGGAGGGGGGGGGGGGGAUGAAUAAAUACAUAUGAGUCUGCCUACUUGGACUGAAAACAAGAGGUGAAGUGAUGAAAGCCCUAAAAGUCAGUGCCCCCAGUUCUACCCUAACAUACCUCUUCACCUUUUGCCUCCGCUGCUUCCAAGCCAACCUGCCACUCUUGUCCCUAUCCCUCUGUGCACCUGGAGGGAUGGACCAGAUGCAGCAUAGAGGCCAGGAGUGCUCAUUGGUCGAUAGGAGGCCAUGACAGGGGCUGCGGAGGCGAGGGGGGGUUGGGGAUGUUAUUGUAACAUUGUGGUGUGGAGAUUGCUUAAGAUGGAAACCCCCAAUUUACUGUACCUUAAUUCUAAAAAGUAACCUCAUGCACGAUUUGAUCGAUGAAUAAUUAAGGCACUAUUGUGGAUUGUGGCAUAAGAUCUCUUCUUUUAACUUAACAAAUCUUAUGCAGGUUAUUUUACCAUGCUGUGUGUUUUGCUUUCUGUCAUCCAAAUUUCAACUCGACGGUAAUUUGAUAGACUUUUCAGUCUUUUUUAACAACUUAUUUUAACAUUUUCCCAGCCGCUUGCCACUGUGUUGCUUUGGAUGCUGAAGGCAGAUGUUAUACAUGGGGUCGCAAUGAGGUAAAAAUGUGAAUAGUCAGUUGCACUUGUUCCACUCAUUACUCAACACUGUUACUUUCUUGCAGAAGGGACAGCUAGGGCAUGGGGAUACUCUUCUGCGCAACCUGCCAACUGUUGUUUCUCAACUGUCAAAGUAAGAUAAUUGCAUACAACACCGAACUCUUUGCCUGCAGUUUUCUUGCUAACAUCUGUGUAUAGUAUUGGUAGACUCAUUACCUGAUUAUGUAGUAUGAUUAAUAUGAGUGGUUUGAAGAUGUUAAACAGUCUUCAUGUGUUCCAAGACGUUAACAGACACUUGUUGCACCUGCAGAUACAAAAUCAUCAAAGCAAGUGUUGGAAGAAAUCAUACAGUGGUUGUAACUGAUGAUGGGAAAUCCUUCUCUUUCGGCCACAAUAAGCACGGGCAGUUAGGGACGGGCUCCUUAAGGAAUGGUUGGUACCCUUCACUUCUUAUUGUCUCAGUCAUGGAAGUGCCUGCACAUACGAUUUUGGUGCUGAAGCAUUGUUAUGUAUUUCAAGUUUAGGCUAUCAUGGAUAUAAAUACUCUGCUCGCAUGUAGAUAUUUUAGUUUUUUCCUAUUCUGUUUGAUGACCCACUAGUACUUUGAUGUAGAGUCUCAUGUGAACUCAAAGUUAUCUUGGAAUACAUGUUGACAAUGUCAUUUCACACUUUCCUUUUACCCCUAGUGACUAAUUAUAAGCAGUUUACUUUUUUAACCAGUUUGUGAGGUUGAUAAACUUAACUUUGCCAUAUCCUUCAGCAUAAUGGUAUUAUCAUUGUCCAAGACCGUUAAUUAGCCUUGAUAAUCGUGUAAUUUUCCCUGAUUGGAUCUUACAUGUUGCUGUUAUUCCUUGGUCCUAUAAUUGCUGCAGAAAUUGAGUCAUCACCAGUGCCCUGUAUCGUUGCCGAAGCAACCACUGCUGUCUGUGGAGCUGAUUUUACGGUGUGGUUGUCGUCAGUGGAAGGCUCUUCUAUACUGUAUGUCUUGCUGGAAAUUCAAAAAUAGAAAUCUUGAACCUCAUUUGAUUAAUAUCUGCUUUGGCUGUAGUUAGUGGGUGUUGUUCGUCAGUUUUUUUGAGGCUGUAUUUUAUUCUUCUAUGCUAUUCAGUACAGCAGGCCUUCCCCAGUAUGGUCAACUUGGGCAUGGAACUGAUAAUGAGGUUGGUCGUUACUCCUUUUGCGCAGGUGGGCUAUUCUUUAAAUUUAUUAUCAAUUCACUAUGAUUUGAUUCAUGCUAUUUCAGUACAAUGCUAAAGAUUCAUCUGUCAAGCUGACGUAUGAUCCUCAGCCCCGCCCACGGGCAAUAGCUGCAUUAUCUGGGAAAACUGUAGUAAAAGUUGCAUGCGGAACUAAUCAUACAGGUUUGUCUUCUUCUUUCUUUCUUUUGAGUCAUCAUGAUUAACACUGAUAUCAACCCUGUUUCUUUACUUGUAUGUUGCAGUUGCAGUUGAUUCCAGUGGCUUUGUUUACACGUAUGUGUUUUAUUCACCAUUUCUUAACACAAUUUCAAGCUGAAAUAGUUAAUAGGCAUGGGUGCCUCUUUAUAUGCUGUAUGAAGUCCACAUAUGUGCAGGACAUAUCAAUUUUUUCAGUUCUAAUAAUGUUUUCUAUUCUCUUACUGUGUUUUUCUUUUGUGUGUGUUUGGCAGCUGGGGUUUUGGUGGAUAUGGAAGGUAUGAUAUUAUUGGCAUGCAUCCCACUGUAACAACGCUAUAGUCCAAGCCCAACAUGGUUCAUAUAACAGCUUGCUUGUUACUUAGGUUGGGCCACAGAGAACAGAAGGAUGAAUGGCAACCUCGCCUUGUAGAAGUCUUCCAGAAGCAAAAUGUUCUGCCUCCUAAUGCUAUUGUCUCGGCUGGUUCCGCAAGUUCUGCAUGCACAGCUGGUAUGCUCUGAUGCUCAAACAAUUAUUGUCAUUUGCUAUUUGGAGUGGGGAUAAUAGGUUUAUGUGAUAUCUUGGUUGUUUGCGUGGUGAACUACCAUUAAUUAUAAGUGCUGGUAAACUCUUUUGGUGUUUUCCUGUGUCUAACUUUCCAUGCGUGUGUGUAGAGGUUUUUCCCCCAACAUUUAAGUGUUUGUCUCAUGGAAAUUGGUAGCAGAACAAUAAUCCUCGAUACUUGGUUAUUUCAUGAACCUUGACACUGUUUCUCUCACAUUAGACAUUAGUUCAUGUAGGGCUAGUAUUCACAUGGGGAAUGGGUGUAUACAAACAAGCGCCCUUAUAAAAGAGCAUAAGGUAAACAUUGCACAUGCAACCAUUUCUGUGCAAACUACCCAUAAGCCUCUUCUCUUACAGUUACUUGACGAUUGACAUUGGAUGCUGUAGAUGAUGAGAAUCUAGAUGUGGUUGAAGAGUUAGGCUCUGUUUGGCAUUGUGAUGGAUCCUGCUGAUCCCAUAUUGUGGAACCACUUUUGUUUGGGCUGCUGCUUCGAAACCGUGUUGCGGCCCAACUAGAUAUUGUUGCUUUCUAGACAACAAAAAAUGGCUUUAGUUAGCUAUCCACGUACCUGAACCACGAACAGUCUUUAGCUUCCUAAUAUAGUCUCUCUUUUUCCAUUUUGAUGGUGGCUCAUGUUGCUGUGCUUCAGCUCUAGCAUACCCCAACUUGCUUGGGACUAAAAGGCUUUUGUUGUUGUUGUUGUAUCAAAUAUAAAAAUUCACUUGAGAUAAAUAGGUAUAUAGAAUCAUGUUGAUUACAGCAGCUGCAAACUAACCCAUUGUUUUAUUUAUUUAGAAGCACAAAUUAAAUGCUUCUGAGCUUAUCAGAUUGCUUGUGGAUCAAGCUAUUUAUUGCAAGCCUAUUGAUCUGGUGACACUAUGUGACUUGUGAACCUUGUGUCCUGUUUGUAGUCUAAUGACUUUUAUGCUAUAUCACUCCAUAUAGUGAAUAUUUUUUUUGAACUACACAACACAUAUAAAUGUUUUUCUGCCUAUAAUUAAACUACACAACGUAAUCUGGUCUAUAAUUAAACUAUGUUGGAUUUUAUGCCUAUUUGAUGAAAAUUUAUUCCACAUGCUGCUGAUAUUCAUUGCUUGUGAAAAGUAUUAUCUGUAUAAUUUGAACUCUGCUAACUAGGAGCCAUAAUCAACAACAUUGUUAUUAAUUUCUGGUUCUUUGGUUUGAUUGCUAGGUGGUGGGCAGUUGUACAUGUGGGGAAAGAUGAAGAAUACAGGCGAUGAUUGGAUGUAUCCAAAGCCUGUAAUGGAUUUAAGGUUCCUUACACACUUGUCGCAAUAAUGCAGAAUUCCAAAUUCUACCGCACUUAUGUUAUUGUUUGUCCUUUUUUGAGAGGCUGUUUGUAUUUAUCACAGUUAGCUGCCUGGUAUAAGUAUGUAAUUAUCCUUAGCUAUCUGCUUAACUGUUGAUUUGUUUCCUUCAGUGGUUGGAACAUUCGCUGCAUGGCUUCUGGUAACAUGCACCACGUUGUGGGUGCUGAUGAUUCAUGCAUAAGCUGGGGUGUUGCCCAGAAUGGGGAGCUUGGUUAUGGGCCUAAUGGGCAGAAGUAUGUGUAUAUAAAAAUGUUAAGAAUAUGUUGAUUGUACAAAGGCUUCACUUAUUCGAUGAUCUCAUUGGCCAUUGUUGUGCCAUAUAUUUGUAAUGUAGGUCAUCUGCAAAUCCCAAAAAGGUUGACAUUCUUGAGGGAAUGCAUGUUACAAGGUAAUACUAAAUGACGCGUCACUUUCCAUUCCCUGUUAACAUUGCAGUCUGUAUUAAAUUGUGAACACUUUCUCCAGUGUCGGUUGUGGAUACGGACUGUCUCUAAUUGUUGUGGACAGGGCAAAUAUUGGUGAUCGACUUGAUAAGGUAACUUCAUAACACUUUGUUGCAUGGACUUUCCUGUCGCUUAAUGUUAGGUUAAACAUUCAGUUGAAUGCUUUAUCAUGAGGUCACAAAAAGAAAUUGGUAUGAUUAGUCACCAGCUGUCCUUUCCAUGAUGAUAGGUGGCAGCAUAGUUUCCAACUCUGAUGAGUCUUCCAUCAGAUAAUCUAAUUUUAAACUAGAUUUUUUUUCCGGCUCAACCACUGAAUCAGAAUGUUUUACUGAUAUCCCCAAAUGAUCGAUCAACCGACAAAUAAAUAGAUAUAACUUGGAAAUCACAAUUGAAUGAAUCGGUCUUGCAAAUAUUGUCUAUUUAACAUGGCUUUAAUUGUUAUAUUAUGUCCUGAUGAGAAAUCUGUAGUCAUAUAUUCCCUGGAUAACCUGUAUCCUUUAGCAACAUAUGAAGCAUAUGAGAUGAGAUUGCAAGUUUACCUGGAUUUUAAUAACAUGUUUCAACAUCCAGCACUCUUUUAUUGCCUUGAAGUAUAGAUGUCAUGUUUGCCUUUUGCAUCCUUUCAUUGCUGUAUGUGGUUUUAAAUUGUUAUAUAUUUUAAUACACAUUUUUUUUGUUCCUCAGCUGGAGAUUUAUGAUGGUGAUACCUCCACUGAAGGUUUGUUUUGUCUCUUAUUUUGUUUUGGAAUAACACAUUUAGGUGUAACUCUGCAAGCUUGAAACAUUUUAAUGCUGGGUAAAACACAUCAUAGUUUAGCUUGAUCUGUUACAAAAGAAGCUAUUCUUGUUUUGUAACCAGUGGCUGUCUAAUUUAAGAGUUUCAUAAAUCAUAACCAUAGAUAUGCCUUUUUUCAGCUGUAGGGGGAGGGGUGGCAGGUUGGUCCACAUAAACUUCAAAAUUAUGUGAAAUCAUUAAUAUUUUCUCUGCAUGUAACUGAGAUUACUAAAGAAUUUAGUUGGCCUGUACCUGAACAUUCACCUUGGUGUGGCAUCUAUCUAAAGGACACACUUGGGUUGGGCUGGGCCAACCUGUUUACCUGAAGACCUACCCCACUACCCUAGGAUCCCAAUUGUACUACUAGUCUACUACGAUAGAGAACAUGGAGGCCAACUGGCUACCCAUUUUCUCUUGAAUUGUGUCGUGCGAUGCCUGAUUUUUGGGUCCAAAUAAUCACUUGGACCUGAGCCAUCAUUAAUGGAAAACGAUAAAAUGAAAGAUACCAAGUUUAUGAAUUGUUUCAUGUUGGAUAUUUCUUUCAUGUCUAGGAUGAAUAUAAUACUAGUAACUAUGUUCUCGAGAGCAAAUUAUACGGUACUCCCUCUGUUUUUAGUAGGCUUAUUAGAAUUUUAAAAAGUCAGACUUCAUAAAUUUGACCAAUGAUUAGUCAAAUUAUAUGCAUGUUUAGUGUAUAUAAAAGUUAUAUGAAUGGAUUCUUAUUUCAAAUAUCUUUAAAUAUGACAUUAAUUUUCUUGCAAUUGAUGAUAUAUUGUAAGAGAAAAGGUAUACCUCAUAAGAAAUUUUCAAAUUCUAAUACGCCUACUAAACGAAUGGAGGGAGUACUAUACGCCUACUAAAAGCUUAUUAACUGGUAUCAUUGAGCUUUGUGUUGUUUCCCGUAUCUUGCUUAUGGAUGGAUUUGAAUUUACCACUGCAGUAGAGGUGGAGGUGCAAGCAACCAAGAAGGCGUCUACCAGCACCAAUUCCCGUGCCAACAAGCGCAAGAAAACCAAGGAUGAUUCUGAAUCUGAAGAGGAUGAUGAUGAGGAUGAAAGUGAAGAUGAUGAGAAUGGGGAAAUAGAAGAGGCCAAGGGCAAGCGUGGCCGCAAACCCUCUAAUAGGGGGAGAGGUAGGGGAGCCAAAAAGGCAGCCCCCGAGCCAAAGCCAUCUGGAAGGGGCAGAGGCCGCCCUAAGAAAACUGAGAGUUCUGCUCAGAAAGCUGGAAGCUCAGGCGGCCGUGGUGGAAAGAGAGGAGGAAAAAGAGGAAGACCCCGGAAGUGAUCAUAUGGUCUGCACUAAGGUGGUGUUGAAGUCAGAUCAAGUGAUCUCUAACACCUGAUGUGAUCCAUCCAUUGAAGAUUUCAUUUUGGUAGCAAUGCCUCCAGCCUUACCUGAGUUUCGCCAAUUGCAGCUAUUCAAAAACUUCCUCUCGUUUUUUUUGCCCCAUUUCCAAAUUGAUUGUUCCAUCUGAUUGUAAGUGUAGAAAUGCUUAACCUGUACAUCUGUGUUCUUUGUCGAUGUUAAUCACACAUUCGGUUUUAGGCUAUUGUGAACCCUUCAAUAGAAUGAUUUAUCCUGUUCAAUCCUAUAGUCCCUUCAGUUGACCACCGGCACCUUGUGGCUGUGGUUGAGUAAUUGAUCAAAGGUUAUUGUGCAGUCAGCAAAGCAUGAAGGAUUCCCGCACAAGAGUCCAAGGAUUGAAUUUACUUGAUGCUGCUAGGUAUGUCCUGUCCUGUCAAAUGAUCUUGCUUUACUCUGUCUUUCUGUGGAUACAAUUAGGCAGAUUCUAGUGUGAUGGUGUCUGCUUGAUCUUGCUUUUUAUUUCUGGUCUUAGCUUUUGUGGUCGCCCCAAUCUGGGCUUGAAUGAGCCUAUUGACGCGGCUGGCUUUGUCCUGCGCCUGCGUUAUCCUCUGAAGACCAAAUCAUGUUCUUUCGUAGGACCAGUUCAGGCCUCUAAGUUUGUUACCCCGCUGUAGUCACGUACUUGUACUGAAUCGCUGCUUAUUUCCUAUUCAUUCCUGCGGUACUACUGGACCUGGGCGAUUUGAAUACUGUAGUGUAAUGCAUUGCCCCGUUCAAAUAAAUAUUCAUCAGAUUAUUCUUUGAAUCUACUCAUAGCGUACGUGGAUCCGGAGUAUUUUGGCGUCAAUUUGAUCGACGACACGAUGCUUUCCCAGCCGAGCUACACUAUGCGCAAGUAGGUGUACUAGGUCUUUAGGUGAAGUAGCUCGUGUCCGUGAACACUGAACAGUUUGUUGCCCGCGGAGAGAAUUCAGCGAUCAGCGAAUCAGUACUGCAAGCCAAAACUAUCGUGGCGUCAACACGCUGACUUGUGGGCUUCCGGAUCCAACCGCCGCCGUUCACUGACUCCCGCAGUUAAUUGAGUUACGUGAUCGCAAGGACCAGCAGCGGCUGGACGGACAUCUUCUUCCGUGCCAUACGGGGUAACAUGGGGUCCUUGGCACCCCAUGAUAAUCUACUCCUGUAUGGCUGUAUGACAUGUGAGGACGGCGACAAGGCGGCAUGGAUGAGGCGAGGACAUCUCGGGGCGCCGGGGCAACGACGCCGCAUGUGCCUGCUUCCCGUCCAUGAUCCGGCACCAGCAGGCAUGUAGCGCCGGUGUUCCGGGCCAUGCAAUGUGGCGUGUGGGCGCGUAUCGGGAGACCCGGGGGCCAGGAUGGUUGGUUGGAUUGGAUUCCGUUCCGAACUGAACGCCCCAUGCGUCACUGGGAGUUGGGGCUUAUUUCGGAGUAAAUUUCUUCAGUGGUGAAUGGUCGUCAGCGUUGGAACUCCGGGAAUGGAAACAGUCUCACCCACCUGCCUCAUCUUGGUAGCUCACAUUCUUGAUCGAUCGACCCAUAGGCACCUGUUUGGCCUCCGGUAGCCAAGAGCCCAAGAACAUCCAUCAUGCAUGUACCAGGACAAAAAAGAUACAGUACGUUAUCGUCACAUUCUAACCUGUACGUGCAGCUUCUGGGGGGUAGUUAAUCUGACAGGACUCUGCGUUGUCAAAGGAAUUAGGUGGCACGGAUGGGAAGCACUGCAGGAUGGCGCUCUUCUAGCUAACCAAAAAAACAUUUUUUUUAUCAAACUGGAAUUUCAUCUAGACGUAUCAUUAGGUGAACUCUCCCUGUCCUCGUGCCCAGCCCAGUUUAUCAAGCCAAAAGUUGGGAUUAGAGCCACUCAGCUAACCCCCUAUCGUUUUCGUCCUUCCCCCUCUCUUGAAGGUUUCGAGCUGCGGCUAAUGAGGUGCCCUGUCCCUGUUCGGCUUCCUCUUCCAAAGCCCAUGAUUCCCUUGCCGUGUGAUGGAGCGGAAAAAGAAGAGAUCGGUGUUAGUUGAGGUAGAUUUGCAUGCGGUUGUCCCGUUGAUGUGCAUCACCUUCAAACCUAAAUAUCCCCUUGUUUUGCCGUGCUGUAUGAUCUUGUCCUUUUAUGAAGUCAGUGAAAUAUGUACCGGCAGAGUUGCUACCACAGGUUUUAAAAUGGGACAAGAAGAUUCAUGGAAUGAAAAAUUAAGUCAGCAUGACCGGAAAUAUUACAUUUCUUUAAUAAAAUAUUAAAGCAAAUGAAUUUGUCUCAUUUUUUCGAAUGUCCACCCUCCCAGCUGCAUAAGAUUCUCUGGUAGCUCCCAUACCAAUUAGUCAGCAUAGACGAGAAACCCAUCUUCUUUCCCCCCUCUUUCCUCAACUAGCAGAUUCAACAUCCCACCUAAAGCUGUUGAUACUAGUAGGUUUUGCUGUCAAACAUGCAAAUCUGAUUUGAAAUUGAAGUCCUACCUCUGCAAACUAUUUUAAAGCCUUGAUUUCUGUUAACGUUUCGCUUCAUUUCAUUUCAGGGGAAAUGUUCUGGUUGAAAAAAAAAAUCAAACGAUUUUCUUGUAUAAAGACUGUUAAGACUGACGAAGAUUAUGGAGUAACAUGAUAUAACAAGUUGGAUUUCCUCAUUACAUGAUAUAACAAGUUGACAUGCUGCCCCAACUGAAUGGAAAGGCUUGGUAGGUAGAUGCCCCAAAUAUGUAUGCCUGUGUAACAAAUGACAAGGCAUCAUCCCACAUCUAUCAUUGCAAUUGCCUAUGCAUAUAGGAUAACACAGCUAUCCCAUCAUUGCCAACAAGGAUCCACCAUGUUAAUGCAUGGUACUACGUACAGAUCGACAGAUUAGGUCAUUAGGACCGGGAUUAGCUCCCAAUAACGAAUCAGAAAACCUUUCGUGCAUGGGAGUCGUUGAUUGCUGUCGUAAUCGCAAUUAUUUUGGUAUGGAAAUGUUGUGUGCCUGUUCAUGUCAUUGCAGUCCCAGCUUCGGAGCUGCUUUUAUCACCAACUGAUGAUUCUUGAGCAAGAUGAGUUAGCACUGUAUUUGUGACGUCUCUCCACUUCGUAAGCUUAACUUCACCUGAAGAGAAGGGAGCUAGAUUGUUAGAAUCUUUACAUUUCGCUCCGAUCAUUGCAAAGUAAGUACCUCAAAGAUCCUAUAGGAAGUUUUGAAAAUCAGGAAAAACCUUUUGAACUUUGAGGUGAAAAGAAAUUUAGAAGCUCAGAAGAACUUAUGGACAUUUUUUUUUGAAACGAACCUGGCAGUAGAGCUGCCGAUUUAUUAAAAAGAAGAAAUCCAGAUUGGAUAAAUACAAUCGAUAAAAAAUGAAAUAAGACAAAAACUGAACCACGAAAACAAAACAACACUAUAAACUCAGUCGCAAUCAGCAUCGCGCCAGUAAAGUGGAGAGGAAGAACUUAUGGACUUAUUCACACCUUUACUGUUUAAAUGCAUCUAGUCCUUGAAUUUGUCAUGUACAAUUAAUUCAUUCUCCAACAACUAUUUUGAAGAGUGUUGAAAAGAGUUAUGAGAGGCUGCUGUGCUGUGCUAGUGUUGUAUGCCAAUAAUUCAGUAUAUGCAAGAUCCAUAAUGGGUGGACCUAAUAAUAAGGAAGCAACCCACUAGAUCUCAUUCUCAGAUGCCAGUUUCCAGUCCCCUCUGUCUGAUGGGCUGUGGCCUCAGACCUGCUCUGCCCUUUUUCCUCCAGAAGCAACAUGGAGUAGCCUGUCACUGCCUCCCAACUCUCUGACAAUGACCUCUCAUUUUGGCACUAGUUAAUCACAUUCAAGCUAAAAUAGUUGGAGGAUCCCAACAAACCCUAACCUAAUACUCUCCAUCCGAAGUGAUUUGAGCUAGCUGGUACAUGGCAUGCUGUCUCUGUGACUCCAAUCACUGUUGUCUGCUCCUUUUUUUUUGGGUGAGAGAUUACUGUUAUGUGCUUCUGAAACAAGCAACCUAUUGCAGCGAGCAAAGAAAAAGCGACGCGAGGAAAGAACAAAAGGGGGUGUGGUGUGCCCCUUCGCGCAUGACUUUUGUUAUCCACUGAAGAUAUGCUCGGUGCUUUCCUUGCUUUCUUGCGCUUACGAAAUGUCACAGAAAGACAACGAAUCACGACCAUUUAUUUAUUUGCUAAUUCUCCUGCAUUAGCUGACCUAAACCAUACUUCAGAACUCAAUCGACUUCAACACCUGACAAAAAAUAACACCGAGUCAGUAAGUAUUCACCGGUUGUUCCUGUCAGCCACUCCGCUCCAGCAGCAUUGUUGCUGUUGCUGGUUGAAAAACUGCCAUUUCGGAGCAAUGCUAGUGCCAUGGUAGCUACUUUCUGUUAGGGAAACUGUCAGUAGCAUGGUCAAGAACAGAUGUUGACCCUGCAGAAUCAGGUACCGCACUGAACAUUAGGGACCAAAAUAAUCAUGGCCCCUUUUAGCCUCUGCAGUGCUCAUUAUCCUGGCGCUCUCUGCCGCUGCUGGUCAUUCUUUUCCUCGAUCCAGGCCUUUAGGCCGAGCAUCAUUUGCUGCUGCCCUGCCGAAAGAGCAGCUUCGUGCUUGGACGCAUGCUCUGCGAUUCCAAGCAUCGCACAUUUCAUAAUCGCCGGCUGGUUACUGCCAGGUCCUGACGCUUUGACCGCUGUUAGUGAGGUGAUUAGAGGUAGAGAGGAUAACAAACUCUUGUUCAGGAGCACGAUGCUUAGUUUGAUCACAUGGUAAUCAGGGUUUUUGGAGAGGAGAGGCCGGUAGUUAAGAGUAACCGCUACGGCCGGCGUGGAGAGGAGAGGAUAAUGUUUACGGCUUUGAGGGAGGAGGGUACCACUGCACGUGGCGGUAACGUGCGCUGCGUCGACGGGGGCGAGCAGGUGGUGGUGGCCGGCGACGUGUCCAUGUGCGAAAGGCUGGCACGUGCCGGGUGGCGUCGCGGGCCCACUUUGUUUCACAAGUAUACGUUGGUGUCCGCCGCUCUCAAAGCCUUGCUGCCUUGGGUGUCAGUGUCACAUGUACGUACACUACCGUUUGCUGGCAGUGGUAUUCAACAAGUAUUCCCUCCGGCCGCAACUAUCCGAACUCCGAAUUGAAUAUAAUUUCACCGGAAAUGAUAAAAUUUGACCAAAAUUAUUCUGUAGAGGGCAGUGACACGAGUAGAUUUACCGUCAAGUUCACGCUUUGAAUAUUGGAACCCAUGCUGAGUGGAACAGGAGCACUGUCAAAAGUAGCUGUUGCCUCUGAAGCUUCGUGGUGACGGUUUCACCCUGCUCCAUUCCAGGCAAAGAUCCAACCAAACCAACCGAACAGAAAAGGAAACGGGCCGUGGCAGCGUUCAGCGCGCGCCGCGCGUGCUUUGCUUGCUGCGUCGCCCCGCACCCGCAACCACAGCGGCAGGCAGCUCGUGAGCGGGCGCGCCCGAGGCCGGCCGAGCAGCAACGGCAUGGUGCCGCGGUUCCUCCCCUUUUCGGGCGUCGGAUCAGCGGCAGGUCACGUGAACUCGCCAACCAGCCGCAGGCCCGUCCCCCGUACCCGCAGGCCAUGCGGCGCAUGCGCUCCGGGUCCGGGGGCGCGCGGGGCAGAGCGGAGCGGACGCCAUCUCCAGGGGUGCGAGGCCAGCGGCAACGCUUUCUCGUGUUCGCCCCACACGUCUCCCCGUCUCCUCGUGCCCCUAUGCCGGCCGGGCGUCCGCUGCGUCCUGUUCGGCGGCUCCCACCGUUAGCAUUUUGCUCGUGACAAGCACAGGAACCUUCGUCUGGAGAGUUCUCGCACACUGUUCAAGGGCUCAAGCGUCCUGGGCAGGACAGGACACUGAUUUGUGAUCUCCAUGGCUUUGAAGAGGGAGAACCCUGUGAUGCCAGCGUACGGCGUUAAACAGUGAGGAACGGCGCUGACCUCUGUGACUGUUAGUGACAAGCAAGGAAGCGAAAUCUCGAGCCAGGAAGCAUUGCUAUGCCAAGUACAAGUCGCUAUGCUAGUGCCUAGUGGUAGGCGUGGCAAUAAUGCGGCUGUAAUUGGCAGCUUGAAGCCAAGCUACCGUAACCUUCAAAUCACAACAAUCCGGAAAACCAAAAUUGCGUCGGCGGGAACGGGACGCAGCCGUGCCGUGAAGGCAGCAGCGAUGCUGUUCCAUCGAUCUUGCUUCGCUCAUGGUCGUCAUCUUGAGGUCCGCCUGAUCCAUUUGGAUAAGGACACUUACUAUGUGUUGCUUUCUACGGAAUUUUGUAAGGACCGUUUUGCUUCAGCACUUGGUUCAUGGCUUCAAAGCAUCUUCCUCUCCAAAAAAGGCAAGGGAAGGAAAAUGACACAACCUACAGCUGAAACUAUGGUUCUCCAAACGAAAACAGUAGUCUCACUCUCACUUCCAUCUCUCUUUAUCUUAUACAUAAACCAGAGCAAACUAUCUUAAAAAUGCUCUAUCCAUUCCAAAUUACUAUUUAUUUUGAUGUAUGUCCAGGUGCAUAUCAAAAACUAUAUAUCUAAAAAAAGUUAAAAUGGAUAAUAAUUUAGGAUGGGAGAGUGUAUCUUAAAUUAGGUUUUAACUUGAUCUUUUUCCUCUAGUCAAGCCCUUUCAAAUUCUAGGAACAUACAACAAAUUAAAUUCUAAAUAUAUGAAAGCAAUUUAAUUUACUGAAAAGCAAUACAAGCAAAAAUCCCGUGCAGAAUAUCAAAAGAGAGCACGGGAUUUUUUUUUAGGAUAAAGGAAAGCACAGGGAAGUAAAAGAAUAGAUAGAGCGGAGGGCCCGAGGAGGCCUCCAAAAUAUAACAGCAGAGGUGCACAGGCGCACAGCCGCAAGCAAACAAGCGGAGCCGCACCCAAACGCGCAGCCGCAGCGUAGAAGGAGCAGAGCGGCCAUCCGCUGCCGUCCUGUUCCGCUCCAGACUCCAGAAACGCACGAGCGCUGCAGAGCUGAGCACUUGACUGGACUGACUGAGGCGGCGGCGGCCGCGCGGCAGGAGCGAGCGAUCCCACUCCCUCCCCAUGGCGCGGUCCAAGAACGGCUGCCUCAAGAUCCUCGUCUGCGCCGGCUCCGGAUCCGACCCGUCCGCCGGCUCCGACGCCGACGCCGACGAACACCCCGACGAGGUACCGUGCUGCGUGCCCCCCAGCCCCGAGCUUUCCGUGCCGCGGAAUGCGGCGUCUUUCUCUCGCGUGGCGUCUCUCCUGCUGUCGAAAGUUGUUUCCUUUUCCAGCUGGUGUGCUUGUUUCGGUAGAUCUCUGCCGAAUGCGUGGGGUUCAGGGGUAGGGUGUGGGCAAUUCUUGCUAGAUCUGGUUUAAUUCGGAGCGGGAGCUGGAAUCAAGUGGCGAAUUGGGAGAAUCCUCACUGACGUGCAGCUCCGCUCGCUCACUUCGUGGGCUUAAGUUUUGAUUUCGAAAUUGUUGUGCGAAGUUGACAGGUGGACAAUUGCUCAGCAUUUGUUGAGCAACUGAGCAUGAUGUUGCCUCACUGCAUGGACACUGUUCUUCACCUGAUUUUUUUUUUGAAAGAACUUCACCUGAAAAUUUCGUUUCGUUCUUUCUGGAUGAAACUAAAGAAAAAAAAACUUUCCUUUCAUCUUUUGCGGCGUGGCCCUUGCUGCUGGGAGUGCCAUGUCUGGUGUGGCUUAGGGUGCUGUUUUGUGUCGUCAUGAUCCCAUGCAGCACAGCAAGGAGGGAUCUGAUGCUGCAGUCUUUGUUUGCUCCAUGUAGAGUGCUAUGCAAGUGCUUUCAGCCUUUCACUGUUUCUCCCUCGGCCUGAUUGUUUCCAGCCUUGUCCCCUCCCGAUUUGACAGUUUUGUUUUAAAGGAUGGGCUACUGAUGACUUUAUUCUCUACUAAGACUUCAAUACAUGGAGGUGUUACCUGAAGAUCUCGGGUAAAAUCACCAUUUAGACUUCGAAGUCUUGUAUGAAAAACAUGUGGUAGAAUGGGGUCUUGAUUUUUGGCAAGUCAGCCUGCAUAGCUGUAUGCUGUACCUGGUGAAUUAGGAGAGGUAGUAGCUCACUUAAAUUUACAAAAGUACACAAAGUUUGUUACACGUUAAUGGAACAUCAGUAAUAAUAAAUCAUAGAUAUUUUGCUUGAGAUUUAGUCUUCACCUACUGUCAGUACAUGCACACUUUUAAGCGGUGCACUUUAUCCCAAGUAUUACCUAAAUCAGAUCAGUCUGCUUUCCUCACAUAGUAAUGCACCAUUCUUUUUGGAAAUAAAUGGACACAGAGACCUCCACUGCCUAAGGAAAUAAUAUAUAAAUAAAAGAAAACAUAAAUGUAAUCAAUGUGUGUAUUUGACUUAUUGAUCGUGACUGGUGAUUGAUGAAGAAUGUCUAUUUGGAAUUUAAAUUUAAUCACCAUAUGUUUGCAGAGGCUGAAUGAGAGCUGUAUUUCAUAUGUUUUGGGUAUAUUUGGAUAGACAUUACUACCUUUCACCUUUACAGUCUAAUUCUCAAUAUCUGUUAAAAGUAACAAGAAUUUCUCACUUUCUUUCCCGUAUCUAUUACGGAACUUCAUGCUAAUGGGUACAUGUUGGCUGUUUUCAGAACAAGGCCAUAUCAGAUAAAAGCAGAUGGAGCUUUCGUAGGAGGUCUACAAGGCAUCGAGUUCUGAAGAACUCGGAUAUCUCAGAACCUGAAACUCUUAGUUCGAGCAAAGCAAAGGCUGAAAUUACACCAAGCAACAAUGUUUAUACUUCAACAUACUCUUAUGCCUCGGAGAAGCCUCUGCAUCAAGACAAGCCAGAUGAGAAGAUUCUACAUGAAGAAAAAUCAGAGGAGAAGCCUCUGUAUCAAGAGAUGUCUGAUGAAAAGCUGAUGGAUAAGCCAAUUGAAAAGCCUGUUGACAAACUUAUGGAAGAACCAGCUGACCAGAUAAAUGAAAAGUCAAUUGAACAGCCUGCUGAGGAGACAACUGAAACACCAACUGAAGAGUCAGUCGAAAAAAUUACUGACGCACCAACUGAAGUGCCAGCUGAAAAAAUAAGUGAGGCAGCAUCUGAAGAUCCAGCUGAAAGGAUAGUGGAAAAUUCAAUCGAAGAGACACCCGAAAGGGAAGUUGAGGAACUGAUUGAAAAGCCAACUGAAAGUAUUUCUGUCUCAUCAACUGUGCCGAAGCAGGAGGAAACCACCUCACUUGUUGAAGGAAGCAGUGCAGACCCUGAGGAGGAUCACAUGGAGUCUGCAGCUGCUGCUCUUCAGCCUGGCUGUGGGACAGACUUUGUAUGUUGCAAUUCUUGGCCUUGUAAUGUUAUGCUUAGUUAUUUCUCUUUUGAUGUUUUCAAUUAUUAUGAUAUUAUCAGCUAAAAAAAUUAAGCCGUUUGCAUGACUGCAGGCAAGGCAAGAACUAUUGAAUCAGAAGGAUCUGGUGAAACUGCAAGCUGUUAUACGUGGACGCCUAGUUAGAAAGCAGGCUUCAGAAUCUUUGCAUUGCUUGCUUGCAAUUGUUAAAAUUCAAGGAUUAAUAAGGGCUCGUCAAGCACAGCAAUCAGGAGGAAAGGUUCAGGUGAGUGAAGGCUUUCUGUUUAAGGCAUAACCGUUUCUCAAAAAUUUGGCAUCAACUGUGUUAAAUGUGGAUCAUGACAAGUGCACAAUGUGAUCAAUGUUAGCGAACAGGAUGACAAAACAAGGUCCAAUCAGCCAUGUACCAUUUCUCAGUAUGACCUAUUUCUUGCGAUGAGUUUAGACAGUACAAACUGAUUUGCUGAGUCAGCUGAGUGGAGCUUAGCACUUUAGCAGCGUCAUCAUUUACUAAGAUGUUAUGUGCUGGCCAUGUGCAGUUUUUCGAAAUUGUUAUAGCUAGCAUCCUGAAAGCUGUCAUUCUAUUGCUGGUUUUAGGAAUUUUGUUUUCCAUCCAGUUUCUUAAAGUCGCUACUUCUGUUUCUUGUUUGUUAUCUUGUUGGCUGUUGUGAACUUCAAUACCAUUGCACAAGUGAUCCUUUCCUUCUGCACCAAACUUGUAGAUGGAUCAUCACUGUUCAUGUUAACAGUGCUGAGUCUGAGUGUAUCCCCUGACAUUCUUGAGAGUCGCAGUAAAUUUUGUUUCUUGAUUCCGUGCAUUAACAUGUUGUUCUCCCUUCUGCAGGAGACUAUUGUGCAUUCUUCAGGUGAGAGAUUGCUUCGCAAUGGAUUUGCUCUCAAGGUAGGACAUGCUAUCCAUAUACUAAAAUGUUCCAUUUUCUCUCCAAUUCGAAUUUUUCUCAUAUUCAUGUUGCCUAUCUUCUUUCAGCUCAUGGCCAGCAUGCCGACUCCAAAAUCCGUUCACAUAAAAUGUGAUCCAUCAGAAUCUGAUAUCACAUGGAAAUGGAUGGAGAGGUGGACAUCCUUAAUUCCGCCAAUCAGUGGGGAGAACUUGCCAGAGCACAGAGAAAAUGGUGAGUUGAUGGGUGAGAAUGUGAAAGAAGAUGCUCAGCAUGAUGAUGAGGUUGUUCCUUUGGAUUCGGAUCUAUCUUUCCCCAAGUUGGUGCCUGAUGAUGUGAAAGAGACACUAGGGACAUCUGAUUCUAGUGCCUUGGAGGCUCCUGCAAGUAUCCCAGAUGAAAGCUCUGAGGUGGAAAUCAAACGUGACCCUGAACCUGAGUUGAUUGAAAAUAUUGAUAGAGAUGCUGAACAAGUGACUGACCAAAAGACUGAAAAUCCUGUGGACGAGUUUUUGAUGUCCUCAGAUCAACAAUCUUCCCAAGCUGAUGCAUCAAGUGAACCCAUCCCUCUUCCUGAAAAAACUGAAUCACCCAAUGAGGACAGUGGUGAUGCAUAUAGUUCUGAGAAGACACUGGAGAUGGAAGGUAAAAGGUCUGUGGGGAGAAAGUUGUGCAAUCCAGCUUUUGCUGCUGCACAGUUGAAAUUUGAAGAGCUGAGCACAAAUUCGACAAUCAGCAGGUCCAGCAGCUCAUCAUAUCUGGAUGGGGCAAGCAAGUCAAGGGUGCAUACUCCUCGUCCAGAAGAAGAUUACUCGUCAAAGCAAGAUAAUGACAUGGGCCUACCAGAAAGCUCGGUUGCUCAUGAUGCUAAAAUGAUAAUUGCUGCUUCAGAAUGUGGAACUGAAAUUUCAAUUUCCUCUACACUGGACUCACCAGAUAGAUCAGAAGGUGAUGGCGGGGAGAUUGUAUUGGAGAUUGGAGCUAUGGAAAAUAGAAACUAUGUUCCCGACAAAGCUAAUAAGGAUGACAGUAUUGUGCAUUCCGAAGUGAAAAAUGCUCAUGAAGUAGAAGCUCAGCCGCAAGAGGAGGAACAACAGAAUGGCCAUGUCUCUGACCCUGAAGUAGAAGCCCAGGCACAAGAGGAGCUUGUUCAGGAACUACAUGUUGAGCCAGAAAAUUCAGAUUUGCAUGACCAUUUGGAAAAACCUGUAGAAUCUUAUGCCACACCUGAAGGAACUCCUAUGAGCCGAGCCACUGUUCCAGAAUCUCACGGAACACCAUCAAGUGAGGUCUCUGUUAAUACCAAAAAGAGCAGGAGCAAAAAGCCCAAGUCCCAUGCAAGCAAGAGGUCACUGGCUAGUCCAAGCAGUGAUUCAGUAGGACGGAGCAGCACCGAUAAUUUCUCAAAGGAAUCAAGGCGUGCCAAGAGAGAAAACUCAAGCAAGGCUGCUAAGUCCGACCACGUCGACCAAGAACCUCGUAUCAGCAACAGCAACCCGUUGCCUAGCUACAUGCAGUUUACAGAAUCUGCAAGAGCAAAGGCAUCUGCUAGCGCAUCCCCGAAGAUGAGCCCAGAUGUGCAGGACAGCAACCCUAGAAAAAGGCAUUCUUUGCCCAUGACAAAUGGCAAGCACGAUUCAUCUCCCCGCAUGCAACGGUCAUCGUCGCAGGCCCAGCAAAACGUGAAAAGCAACAGUGCUGUUCCUCACAACUCAUCUGGUGAGUGCCUUGUUCUCUCUUACUUUUGUACGUUAUUUGAUCACAUUAGUUACUCUAUCCUUGUAUCUGCUACCAAGUUCUGUUUGAAGUCUAGUUCUCUUAACGGCCCUUGUUACCUGCAGACAAGAGGUGGCAUAUCUGAUGAGUCCCUGAGCAGCAUACUCGCGCGGUGCCAUCGAAUAUCUAGAUGGGUUUCUCGUGAUGACUCUUUCCUUCUCCUCGCACUCCAUACUCUGCUACCAAUUUUUUUCCCCUCGAUUCGUUGUUGGAACACUGAGUAUGGUUGGAAGAAGGGCAGCAGCUGCCGCUUGAUAUGUGUACAUUUGUUGGUUGUUAUUGGUUGUGUUAUUUGACUGAUGAUAGUGGUUUCUGUGUGUAAUAUAUAUAUCCUUGACAUGUAACGCAACAGCAGCGGCCUGAAGAGUGUGUGGAUUGGUCUGUUAUAUUUGGCAAUAUUGAAGUUUCAGUUGGUGUGGAUAGAGUUGCCAUUUCUUUCUGUAUCUGUAGCUGCAUGAACGAAACUGAGUUCUGUUCCCAUCACCACCUUGCAUCGCCUACCCACGGGCUGGCUGGGUGGAUAAUGGCCGGCCUGUUGAGCCUCUCUUGAUGGGCUGAUGGUCUCAACUGCUGGGCAACGAGAGCAGGAGGCCAGGAGCCGCCCGCCCAGCCCAGCACGCAGGCAGGCAUCGCGUGGACGAGACGAGACGAUGACGAAUAGCACAUGAAAUGCUACUGUAGCAAGCCGGCUAGCACGGUAGCACCUGGCUGGAUGUUUGGACCGACCCUGGCCGGCGUCCCCAUCAACCCGCGCUCAGCUGCCGCCGGGAAAGGAGGCGGCGGCUGAGUGAACGAGGCCGCGGGAUCAGCGGGUCAUCUGGGAACGGGAUUACGGGAAGGAGAUAGACGAUGCCGGGGGACUCAAACCACCAAACCGGCAGCAGUUUUGAUCGAAUGCCAUUUCUACGAUUUGCGACUUGCGAAGUUUUUUUUUUCCUCUCAAAAUUGUUGAAUGUGAAUGUAAAAUGAACAGAGAUUUGGGAACUCAUUUAUGUUUAUUGAUCUCUUUGGAUUAUAUACAAGUGAACAGUCGCGUUGUCUGGACGUGACUGUUCGGGAAAAGGUAACUGUUCAAUGGAACAAUCUACUAACAAAGGGAUAUGUCCUUCGUAAGCACUACUUAUACUAACUAACUGCUAAUCCUCUUCCUCUGUUGAUGAGAUCACCGAGUAUAGAGAGGUGUCUGUUAGGAACAGACACACCGUUUCGUAACACCCCCCUUGAUCGAAUAUUCUUUGAGAUUAAUGUAGAAGUAUCUUGGAUUCCUCGAGAAAAACCCUGUGGGAAAAAUCUGAGGAAUAUGUAUGUACAAAUACGCUAUAAAAACUCCUUUAAACCUUAUAGGAAAAUAAGGAGAAAAUAGCAUAUAUGAGUGUGAUUUAAAUAAAUCACCAUGCCAUUGGUAUCCCAUUAAAAACCCAGUAAACCCAGUGGGAAAAAUAUUGGAGAUACGACAUAUAGAUUACCCCAAAAUAUUUCAGGAAAAAUAUAAGGAGUAAUAUAAAUUGAUAUGUUGCUAAAACUCCUGCAAAAACCCAGUGGAAAAAUUAGGAGAAAAUAUGACAACAUAUUAUUGGUAUUGCCUCUUGAUAACUUACAUGAAAAACCUUUUAAGGGAAAAACUAUGGAUAAGUUGUGAGAGCAAUUUGUGUCUUUGAUAUUUUCCAAAAAACCCCGAUGGGAAAAAUAGGAAAUAUGACACAUGCUUAUGUUAAUAUUACUCAUUAAAAACUUUAACAAGAAACCUUGUGAGUAAAACUUGUGAAAGAAAAGAGUUUAAUAUGAUGCUGGUACAGGUUAAUAUUUAGGAGAUAUCUCCCCUGAUUCUGGCAAAUCUCGAAGUCGCCACAUACCAAUUCCAUGUACCAAUUUUUGAAAUACAGAAGUUGGUAAGGACUUAGUAAAUAGAUCAGCGAGAUUAUCACAUGACUUGAAUUGCAAUAUGUUUAUUUCCCCGCUUUCUUGUAAAUCAUGGGGAUAAAACAGUUUAGGAACAAAAUGCUUAGUGAUAUUGCUCUUUAUGUAACAUGUUUGCAUCUGUGUAACACAAGCGGAAUUAUCUUCAUAGAUAAUUGUAGGUGAUUCAAUUGAACCAAUACCACAUGACUAUUGUAUGUGUUUAAUCAUUCUGCAAAGCCAUGCACAUUCUCGUGAUGCCUUGUAUAGAGCAAUACUUUCAGAAUGAUUAGUAGAGGUCGUUGUCAUAGUCUGCUUAGAAGAUUUCCAUGAAAUAGCUGUACCUCCAUGUAGGAAUACAAAUCCUGUUUGGGAUUUUCCGUUAUGAGGAUCAGAUAAGUAACCAGCAUCAAUAUAACCAAUCAUACUAGGAUUAUGAUUUUUCUUGAAGAAUAGACCAAUAUCCUUUGUACCAUUAAGGUAUCUGAGGAUACACUUGGCUCCCGUCCAAUGACGGCGAGUUGGGUUCGCACUAUGCCUAGCCAGUAAGUUCACUACAAAUACGAUAUCAGGCCUAGUGCAAUUUGCAAGAUGCAUAAGUGCGCCAAUGACACUGAGAUAUGGGAUUUCUGGUCCCAACAUCUUUUCCCCAAUAUCCCAUGGUCUAAAUGGAUCUUUCCCUAUUUCUAAGGAACGAACAACCAUUGGAGUUUUAUUGGGGUAUGAUUUAUCCAUAUUAAAUUUCUCCAAUAUUUUCUGGAUAUAGGCUGAUUGAUGCACUAAAAUCCCUGAAGGACGGUGCUCAAAUUGUAAGCCUAGGCAAUACUUGGUCUUACCCAAAUCCUUCAUCUCGAAUUCCAUCUUUAGAUGUUGGCGUGCUUCUUCUAUAUCCUUUGGGCUACCAAUGAUAUUUAAAUCAUCAACAUACACGGAUAUAAUACAAAAUCCCGUUCGAGAUUUCUUAAUGAAAACACAUGGGAAAACAUCAUUGUUAGUGUAUCCUUUCUUUAGAAGGAAUUCACUUAGUCGGUUGUACCACAUUCGUCCCGACUGCUUCAAGCCAUAUAAUGACUUUUGUAGUUUUACACAAUACAUGUUGCGAUUUGCAUUUGGAUUCGGAAUUUGGAUUCCAUCGGGAACCUUCAUGUAUAUGUCCGAAUCAAGUGAUCCAUAUAGAUAUGCUGUCACCACAUCCAUUAACUGCAUAGAUAGAUGAUUUUGAACUGCCAAUGAUAUUAAGUAUCGGAGAGUAAUUCCACUCAUUACUGGAGAAUAGGUUUCAUUGUAAUCAAUGCCGAAUCUCUGCGUGAACCCUUGUGCUACUAACCUUGCUUUAUAUCUCACCACCUUAUUGUUCUCAUUCCGUUUUCGGAUGAAAACACAUUUAAAGCCUGCAGGAAAGACUUUGGAAGGUGUAGGUAUUGCAAAUGUGAAUACCCCUCUUCUAGUGAGCGAGGCUAUCUCAGCUUGAAUUGCUUCUUUCCAUUGAAGCCAGUCCGAGCGCUUUUUGCACUCUGCCAUUGUCUUGGGAUCUGGAUCAUUGAGAAAGACUUCUGCAAUUGCUAGUAUAUGUCGACAACAGUAGUCUUACGAUCGUAUGAUUCUCCUGAAUCUAUGUAAUUGAUGGAAAUUUCUUUCACCCCAUUAUUUGACUCUACAUUUCCCAAAACUAUGGAGUCAGGGUGUUCCGAUAUCCAAGGAUCAGAAUUUCGAUGCACCGUUGAUCCGGAUUGUGGAUUUUGUCCUGAUGUUGGAUUUUUAUCCACUAUUGGGUGUCUACCAACUUGAGGUUCGCUUGGAUUUACUGAUUUGGAGGACUUAGUCCUCGAUAUCCUCGGACGCUUACUUGGAGCAUUAUCCUUAGGAGCGGUUGUACUUUUCCCCUUCUUCUUUGGAAGUGGGAGUUGAAUGGUUUUUAUUGGUACCUCCACUCUUUCAGGCGCAUUGCGAGCAGGAUAAGAGGAUUUAGUGACACCCUUAUAAUCAGUAAAUGCUUCUGGCAGGUUAUUUGCAAUAUGUUGCAAGUUUAUGAUUUUCUGAACUUGUUGUUCAGUCUCUAGAGUACGUGGAUCUGAGGGGGAAAUGCCUUGAGCAUUCCAGAUGAUUUCCUGACAUUCUAUUUGGUACUUGAAGUCUCCCCCUAAUAUCGGAAAAUGGUCCUCAUUAAAUAUGCAUUCCGCAUAUCGGGCCGUGAAUAAGUCCCCUGUAAGAGGCUCGAGGUAUUUGAUAAUUGAUGGAGAUUGCUAUCCCACAUAGAUACCAAGUUUCCUAUGUGGGCCCCUAGAAGUACGCUUAGGCAGUGAGAUCGGUAUGUAUACAGCGCAACCGAAUUUUCACGGAUAGGAAAUAUCUGGCAUAUUCCCACGUACUAAUUGCAAUGGGGAGACUGCGUGAUAUGCAGUUGGUCGCAAUUGUAUUAAGUCAGCAGCGUAUAAGACUGCAUGACCCCAACUUGAGGUUGGUAGAUUGCAAUUUUGUAAUAACGGUCGUGCAAUGAGUUUAAUUCUUUUAAUAAGAGAUUCUGCUAAACCAAUUUGUGUAUGGACAUAUGGAAUAGAGUACUGAACUUGAAUUUCCAAAGCCAUACAAUAAUUGUUGAAAGCUUUUGAGGAAAAUUCAGCAGCAUUGUCCAUUCGAAUUGAUUGAAUUUGAUGUUCAGGAUUAUAUGCUCUAAGUCUAAUAACUUGAGCAAUAAUUUUUGCAAAUGCAUGGUUAUGAGUGGACAAAAGACACACAUGAGACCAUCUAGUAGAUGCAUCUAUUAGAACCAUGAAAUACCUGAACGGUCCAGACAGUGGUUGUAUAGGGUCACAAAUAUCUCCUUGAAUGCGUUCAAGAAAUUUUAGUGGCUCAUUUUGAAUCUUAGCGGGCGAUGGCCGUACGAUCAAUUUUCCUGUAGCACAUGAAGUGCACAUAAAAUCUGAAGAUUUGGGGAAUUUAGCAGUAUUUAACUCAUGACCAUUAGAAUUGCUGAUAAUUUUUCGCAUCAUCCCUAUACUAGGAUGGCCAAGGCGAUCAUGCCAAGUUUUGAAUGCGUCAAUAUUCUGAAAAAUUACCUUAUACGCAACAUGUGGUACGGGUUUGAUGUAUGUAUAGUACAAUCCGGACGAAAAAGAGGGAAUUUUUUCAAUAAUUUGUUUGCUAUAUCCGCUAUUUUUAGUAAUGAGGAGAAUUUCCUCAUUAUUAUCAUCACAUGUUUCUAUAUGAAAACCAUUUUGACGGAUAUCUCUGUAACUUAACAAGGUACGCUUUGAAUCGAGAUACAAUAAUGCAUCCUCAAUUGUAAUUUAGGUACCCAUGGGGAGUAUAAUAGUGGCACUACCAGAGCCAAUUAUUGUAGCAUCGCGUCCUGCGAUUGUCAAAACAUUUCCUUAUCUUUUUGUAAGAGUUUGGAAAUACUUUGUUUCUCUAAGUAUAGAAUUAGUGGUACCACUAUCCACUAGGCAUAAUUCCUCCUCCAUCAGAUUGACCCCGUAGGAACGUGGGUUGUUUAGGAGCAUUCGCAUGUCAGUUGUUCUCUAUUCACGAGCGUGCUGAUAACGUGUUAAAUGUGAAUGUAAAAUGAACAGAGAUUUAGGAACUCAUUUAUGUUUAUUGAUCUCUUUGGAUUAUAUACAAGUGAACAGUUGCGUUGUAUAGACGUGACUGUUCGGGAAAAGGUAAGUGUUCAAUGGAACAAUCUACUAACGAAAGAACAUGUCCUUUGUAGUGCUAACUGCUUAUACUAACUAAAUGCUAAUCCUCUUCCUCUGUCGAUGAGAUCAGCGAGUAUAGAGAGAUGUGUGUUAGAAACAGACACACCGUUUCGUAACAAAAAUGAACUGAGCUGCUAGUUCAGCUAACAGUUCCUUCUACACACUUUUGGCCGAGCAUCAAUUUCUGACGAAGAGUAAUUCGGUACGUACGAAAGCGGCGCCUUAAACUGUUUUAGCUCAUUUCUAACACUUGUGUCUAUGCUCAUGCCCGUACGUACGACAGUGACGCAUACUGGCUUACCGUAGCUACAAAGCUCGAAAGCGACUUGUCCCCUAGCCAAGCAGCCCUCUUCGAUUAGUGAACAUACCAGCACUCAGAUAGUACAAGUCUACAAGACCCAAUUUGGUUUUAGCUUUUAUUAAUGACGUACGAAAUCAUGAUUUAACGAUCCGUGGAUCUCUGCUUCUUCGUAAGUUCAACGUAUCCCAGUCUUGACAAAAACAGAACUUGCCACAAACGACCAUGACACACAAUUAGCCUGUGCUUCAACAGUUCAACACAUUCAGUAAAACUCAGAGCUUCAAUUAAUCAUGGAAUGAUUUUCUUUCUAAAACAUUUUCUUCCCUUGACAAAGAUUAAAUGGGCACUGGAAGCGAAAGAACCAAGGAACUGAAGCGCAAUAUUUACUGAAUCAUUUGGAAAAAAGAAAGAAAGAUGGCGAAAUAAGAAUAUCGAACCAAAGAACAGUCAAAAAUCAACCAGCAGCAGCCGCUGCUCAAUAGUCAAUACCGGCCGGCUAUUCUGCUGUCUAGCUUUAUCCUUUUCGAUCCCUUUGGCUGCUCUUUCCUCGCGGCUGACACAUCGUGCAGAAACGUGCAGUUUGCACCAUUGCGACACCCCCUGGCGCUGUUGAAGUAAGCACAGGGCUUCGUAGGCCUUUGCUUCUCCCUACCUGGCAUAGAACCAUUGCUAACCACAUCAAUGGUGCUAGUCUGCGAAGGAACAGAAUGGUGAUGCAUUGCAAACUGCAUCCCAUGCUGCUGAAGUGGUUCCUGCCUCUCCCCUCCAUGCUGAUGGAUCAGUGUCUUGUAAUAGUUGAUACCCCUACCUGGAAUAUUUGAGAAGUUCACUGCUUGACUCGAACUUGCUGGAGGAUUCAUGCCAACUGAAGGAAUAGCUGGAGGCAGCCGAUUCAUCACAGGUGGUGGAGGUGGCAGCGUAGGGUUUAUGUUAUGAAAUGUUGUCACAUGAUCUGGGAAAGGGACUGGAAUGCUAGCUGUCAUUUGGGGCGGUGGGCCUCGUAGCAUCGGGGCAGGAACAGGACUGUUGGUUGGUUGUUCAUGUUUAAGUGUGCCAUAUUCUUUCAUUAGCCUCUCAAGUUGGGCAGGGUCACUUAGUAUUUUGAUGAGUAGAUCUUGGUCAAUCAUAUUUCCCAUUUGAUUGCUUUGCAUUAUUGCGGCAGCCACUGCAUCAGGAUCAGUGGAGAUACCAGCAGCACUUGCUGUGUUGAUGGAACCAUUGGGGUGCUGCUGUGCAGUGGUAAAUGGGGCAUCUGAGCCUUGUGGGACCCUGACUAUUGCAGAGUCAUACUUAUCUGACUGAUGGUAACUGUUUGGUGGACCAGCUGGUGGUUCUUCCAACUGAUCAGAAACAUCAUCCUCUUCAACAGGGAUCAACGGAACCAAUUGGGUCCGAGAAUCAUCAAAAUAGGAGUCUUUCACAUCAGGAGAGACAAAUGGGCUGGAUUGGCACAAGGAGUUCACACAUAAGAAUUGGUGCAAGAAGAGUCAAAUCUGAAGCAUUAUAAAUUGAAGUAGAGCUUGCUUACUUCGGAGGAAUGUUUGAUGACCGUGGAUAUAUAGCCUCAAGGGCUCCAAAUAUUCUCUCAUUCUGUAAGGCAGCCUCAACACUUUCUUCUCCAGCGACAACAAGCCAGUCAGGAUUAUACAAUAUCUGCAUCCAAUACAAGGUUGAGAACGAUCUUAAAGUUAUCUUGGCAUUAGUAGAGUGCAGAGUUCAAACUCAUGAAUACUAAUUACCUGUGGUGGGCAUCUCCACCUAAUAAGAGGGAUUUGAGAUAUGUCAAUUUUGUGAUCGUUGGUUGGCUGCAAUGAUUCAAAGCCCGGAGGCAGGGAAUCAUCCGAGCUUGGGCCAGCUGCAUGCAUUAACCAUGAGCCUUUUGCUUGCAGAUUGUCUUGCGGUCUUAAUCCAGCUUGAGAAGGGGAAUCCUCUGAGAGAAAAAGCCUUACCUGACAGAUUCAUGAGAUCAUGAUGGAUUAGUAUUUACUUAUUUACAUGUUAUAACUUUUUAUUGACUAGGAAACAGCAAACCUACAUUAGAAACAAACAAAUUCCGCAAGAACGAAAGAGCAAUAAGGUAAUUGCUACUUGAACCUAACUAUCAUAAGUAGUUUGAUUCAAGAAGGGCACAUAAUGGCACAGGAUACAGGAUAAAAAGAUCAGCUGAUGAGCUCAGUUACAUAGACACUUCUAUCCGAGCAUAGGCCAGCCAGUCCAGUGUAUAUCCAACUAAAAAAAUAGUAAUAGAAUCAGCAAAUUGCCAUAGUUUGAAUAAUAAUCACACAUCUAUCCAUUACGUAGCUGUCAUGAAAAGCAACUCCAGUUUGAAAUAUUGACACAGAACGAUUUUGUAAUCUAACUAUAUAAAAAUCUAUGUCCAACAUCAGAGUUGAUCAUUAACUAAAUUACCAGUACAAGUAUCCAUGUGGUUGAUCACUUAACCAAAAUCAUGGUAGCUCUUAAGAAAUAUAGACACAAUCAUCCAAAAUGCCAUAAGUAAAAAAAUGGUUGUAUUCGAAUAUGAGAAAACAAGGAUGUGCCAACCACCAUUCUUCCUUUAUCCUUGGAUGGGAAUACUGGAAGGUUAUCACGGGCAUGGGGGGAUUGGAGUCCAUGAGUAAACUUAUCAUCGAUAAAACAUUCCACCGACAUAUAGAUAGAUGCUUCAAACAAUGAAUUACCAGUGCACACGGAUCUAGGGCUGAAAAGCAUGAAUGCCAUAUGAUAAGAUGCACAACUACAAAAGCAUCAAGAUGAUUUUGGACAAGAAUCCAAGAAAACACAUAGUAACCUAUAUAAUAUUGCUUAUAAUUUCAGCCAAUAAGCUGAAGAAGGCUUUGGCCUUUCAUCAUGAUACUUUAAUACCACAUUCAGAAUGAUGAGAUGAAUGCAGUUCGUCUAUAGCACCUAAAAGGGCAUACAAAGAUUCUGCCCGGCCAUAUAUCUUACAGAAAUGAUUUUUGUGUGCAUAAAAAGCCAAAAAAAUAACUUUUAGUAAUAAGAUAAGAAAUACAUAGAAACAAAUAAGACAAUUAAAGAAGAGGUCAACAGUGUCCAGUGAAUCACUAGAUUCUCGAGUUGACUUAAUGGAGCCAUGUAAACUUUCUUGCAGUCAUUAGUGACAGGAACAAUACACCAAAAUAUAUUGUUUGAUUGUUGUACACACUUCUAACUAUCCCUCGUCCAUUUCCACCAACGCUGUAGUCCAAUUAUUAACAUAUGGAAGCAUGCUAUAAUGUCAUAUCCUUCCAGAUCUUUUCUGCUGCAAUUUACUCAUUCACUACAUGUAUAUGUGACCAUUUAAAAAACAUACAGUUGAGAUUGCAUGUACUUGAGGUUAGAUAUCAGGAAAUCAUACAUUUGUUAGCUUGCUUUGGUUCAGAUUACACAGUCCUGCAUGGGACGGAUUCAUUAAGCUAUGACAUUUUGUGUCUAUACCAGACAUGCAGAUAAUGUCAGUUACAAGAUUCAUCAGAUAGCUAGCAUGCAUGAGACAAAGCAUGCAAUAUAAUUGUUGCCGUGGACCACUGGAAGUAAGGAGUGCUCCAUUCAAUGCCAAACUUUGGCACAAGUUUGACAUUUUAACAUGUUCAAUUGAUUUUCACAGUUGUGCCUAACCACUUCAUCAGCCAUACACCUUCUGUUUUGAAACACCGCUAGGCAUUUUUUUUCUCCUAAAGAAGUUUAGGACUUGAUUUACAAAUAAAAGUGGGACAAUUAGAGGCAGAGAUCAACGAGCAAUACUCAUGGAAAUCAUGGAUGCAUGAUAAUGUCGAAUUUUGAUAAUAUGCCACAAUUCCUCUGUUUAGCAUCGCAUUACUCUAGCCACCUGCAAAAGUAAAUCACCUAGCCACGUUAGCGUCACUACCUGCCUAGCGCCUAGUUUUUUUUUUUUUUUGAAACAUUGUACACACCCAAACUAUCACAGUUGGCCGGCAACAACACACUGUUUGGGAAUAAAACUGUGGCAGCAUUCUGCAGUAGUGACCCAGCACGGCUUUGUCUCUCAUGCAGACUAACUCUGCUGCCCUAUACAUAUAACUCUGCUUCACAAUGUAUGUCCAGUCCACAUACUUAGGAGGCAUAGAAUUUUGUUAAGAUUAAAUGGAAUUAUGUCAAAUAUGUACUCGUUGGGUAGAUCGAUUCAUCUAUCUAAUAAGACUAGAAAUGAUAGAAUUUUAUAAAUAUUUGAUUACCUGACAUACAAAUCUACAAGACAUCUUAUAUUAUGACCAGAGACUUAGCAUUUCCAUUUUACACUGAUCCUUUAUGUCAUAACAAUAUCAUAUUAUUACAAUGUAGUGAUGUACAGAAGGCCCAAGUGGGAGCUAAUGCUACAAACUAGUGUGGUGCUAUAAUCAACAAGCUGCCGGAUAUGCAUGGGCACCUGCCUAACCAUGAAGGUGAAACUUUCCUUCUGUACAUGAAAUACCAAGACUUCAUCAUGAAGACUUGUUUAUUUUAGGACAAAUAGGCAUGAUGAUAGGAUUAUUCUAUGUUAAAUUUAAUGAAUAGGAAUAGGACAUAAUACGAUGAGCUCACAGCACACCAUUGGAUUGCAGUGAGAGAACAACCUUGUCAUCUCAAAACACGAGACAUCAAAACACAAGACAAAUUAUAUUCUUGAGCAUAAUGAACCUCAACUGGACACUGUGAAAUGCCUGUCACUACAUUUAAAAUGAACAAAUUGCAUUGUGGUGUUGCAGAAUCAUUGUAUAUACGUAUCGUGGCAUUUGAUAUGGAAGAUGCUUCUGUAAAAAAAUGUUUUCUCCAAGUAUUUCACAUCCAAGGUAUGAUAUUUGCAUCCUCCUUUCUCACAUUGUGUCAUGGAUACUUUGCUUAUCUUUAAAAAAAAUGUAAAAAAUAUUUCUCACAGGUAACAAAUAUAGAACAGGAGCAUAAUGUGUAUAUGAUUUUUUUUAAAAAAAAGCAAUCAUGCUCAUGGGUAAUGAACUUGUUUACGCUCAUUAUAUUCGUGUUAAAACUAAAAAUGAACAAUGAGUUUUAUUUUUCAAAAGAUAAGUCUCACACAUACAAAUGCUGAGAAAACAGUUAUCUUUAUUGACAUUUGGCAGCUACAGAAUUUCUGUCUUGAGUAGGCCAAGAUUACUCUAUUCAAGACUGCCUGGUAACAAAAUUCAGCAUACAAUUGAAAAAAAAAUUCUGCGGUGAACUGGAACAUAAACACAACAGCAUAAAAUCAGAUCAAUCCCGUUUAACUACAUUUCAACCAAAUUUAAAUUUAUACUUGUAAUCACCAUUUCCUUUCUAUGGAGAAUGCAUGAAAUGAAUUUACUAUUUAACACAUAAUUCCCUGGAGGAAUAUUAUGCAGUUGGAACAUAUGCAGUAAUUAUCAACAUGUAUCAUGGGAUCUUUGAAAGUAAUGUGUCAUUGCUUGUUUUGUAAAGUUGUUUCAGGCAUCAUUUUGUUCACUAUUUUAGCCCAAGUCCACAUUUGCUGGGUUAUUUCAUUGAUUCCUGUCACUUGCAUAUUGCUGUUGUUUAACUGGUAUAAGAAGAUCGUUCAUUCUCUUCUGCAAUUAUUUGGGUGCAAGGAACACCAGCAAUGUCUCAUUUGCAGAAGUCAGGAUCGAAUCCAUCUCAGUCGUUUCUUCUGCCCAUAGCAUUGGGAAGAAUUUUUUUUUUUGAAAAGGCAUUGCGAAGUUAAAAUUGCAUGUUCGUUUUAGGCAAGUCGAACACAUUGUGCAAUCAAAACAUAACAAAUAGAUCGUGCCUCCUCAUUGUAACACGGAGUUGGACGGAUUAAAUCAACAAGAAGCAAAAAAACAAAAAAAAAACCUUCAAACCGCGAGCAAGCCGCGAAGGAUUGGAAGGUGAGGGGGGAGCGCGAAUCGUUCUCCUCGCCGUGGCGGCGGACGAACUCAUCCAUCAUUACGGCGAGGAUUUUUAUCACAAUACCUUGCAGAGAUUGGCCCCGGUGGCCCACGAAACGCGCCUGGGCCGCCUGGACCCCAUCAUUACUUGGCACUCCCCCAAACCGAUCUAUAGGCGCGGGAACCCUAGGCGGCGGGGCGAUGCGGCGGCGAUCGAAGGGGCGCAAUCCGGAAGGCUCUCUGCUGGUCCGGACCCGGGAUCGGGGUCAUCUAGGGUUUCCGCUCCCCCCGCCUCCUCCCCGUCCUCACCGGACCGCGAGGGGGUACGGUGACCUCGCGGGAGGAUGGCGAUAGCGGCGGCGGCGGCGGGAGGGUGUGGAUUUGGAAGGGGGCGAUGAGACGGGAGGUGGUGGUGGUGGGGAGGAGCAGGAGGAUGUGCUGGCGUCGGCGCCCCCCCUUUUGUUUUGUUGGCUUCUCUCUCUCUCGCCCCCUCUCGUCGUCGCGUCGAUUUGAUUUGAUUUGGUUUGAUUUCACCCCCUUUCUCUCCGCGAUUUCCCACCGUUUUCUAGGAUAAUGGGUGGUGGUGUGGGGGCGGCCUGGUUUGCAUUAAUAAAUUUCGGCGGUUUCUGCGGCUUUUCUUCCAGACUCCAGAGAAACCAGGCGCCCCUGUUGUUGUAGGCAGGCAGGUCAUGUGACUGACGGACGGCCUCUCCUUUUUCGAUCAUGGUUCCUGUAAUUUUUUAAGCCGGUAGAUUAGCGUCUCCUUCGAGGAGACGUAUCAGAUGCCAACUCUUCUUUAGAGUACUUCUCUCGACAGACUCUGGUGAUGUUUAGCUUGGAUUUUUUUUGGAUUUUUGUAUAAUGACUUCUAGGUUUAAAAAUACUUUGGUGCUUUGCUGUUGACGGAGGAUAAACCGUGUAAUUGUCUCUGCAUCUAACCUCUUUAUCUGUCCAAUUUGACUCAUGUAGAUGUGCUACGCAAGAUGGCAGGCCUAGGUGCAGUGCAGGCACUCAAACCGUCAAACGCAUCAGCAGCCAUCAUCACAAUGACCAGGCAACCACCGUGCAGUUCAACUAACCCAGCACAUCUGAUUGCUCAAGGAUUACCUCGUGAGUGCCAGUGACAAUGGCAUGACAUGACGUGACAUGCUGGUAUCAUGCAACGCAACACAGUGUACUUUCUAGAAUGACGCGAUAUAUUUUCUUAGAUAGAUCCAAACUUUAUUUUAUGUAGUUCAGGAAACAAAAUGCCGCCCUUGCAUACAGGCUCACCAAACUGAUCAUAUUGUUUCCAGCUGAUUCUCAGCAAAAGCAAACCAUGCACACUCAGCUACAACUCAUGUAACAAUAUCUUUUCCGUUCAGAUGACACUAAUAAAAGGUUGUUAGAACUGACGAAGCAAUUGUAUUGUACUUCCGUCCAAAAUAUAGUUAAUAUUUUUAACUUUGACCACCAAUACCUAAAAAAUUCUAAUUAAAAAGUUAUAAUAGUUGGUUUUCAAUAUAAAUCUACUUUUGUUCUCUAAACGUAUAUUCUGGGACGGAGGAGUAUGCUAGAAAUGGUCGUGUGUUCCAGAAUUUUAAGACCAACCGUGGCCAUCACCGUACCACAUAAAUUGCAUAAUCCAGCUUCUAGAGUAUUACACCAUACAGUUGAACUACUUAUUACAAAGCAUAUCAGGGGGGUGUAUCCUCACAUCAAUAUCAAAUCAUAAACACAAAUACAAAGCUGCUGCCUCAGGCAACCUACUCUCAGCAUCAGUGCGACAGAACACAAACACGCAGCCAGUAGAACCCAGCAACUCCCUCUGCUCCAUCAUCUCUUCUUAAAACCAUACUUCUUGCGCUCAUAGAAGAGAUCAGUCUUUGCGCUUCCAAGAUUGACAAUCUUCGGACAACCAUCCCGGUCCUUCUCCUGCUGGGUACACUCCUUGCAGUAGUAGGCGUCUGAGAUGCCGACUCCUCCACAGAUCACACACCUUCCCUGGAAUGAGCCAUAGUUGCACUCGUCGCACACCCGGACAAGCGUGCAUGGACGCACGUAUGAGUCGCAAAUGACACACUUGCCAUCGCAUUUCUCACAGAGGCGACCGAUCGCAAUGCCGGGCUGCUUCCGGCACAUGAUGAGAUCAGGAUGAUGCUUCGCCAUUGCUGUCGGAUGCUAACCUGCAAAAAUCAUCGUAGAAUAGUAUACAGGUAAGAAUCAUGCGAUGCUAUAGUUUGUUAGCAGCUGGGAGAACAAGCACAGGAGCAAAAUUUCGGUGAAAUGUCAACAAUUUCUUAAUUCAAUCAAUUAUACAUAUAGCUGUCCAUAGCACUAGGAGAUUUUGGUGAGCAUCUCCUAGAGGAGCAAACUUUAGUGUGGUGACCCAAGAUUAGCAAACAGCAGCUCAACUAUUCAUCACUAAGACACUAACACUAAAGCUCUUUUCAGAAUUGCAUCAGGUGUCCACAAGGUUUGUCAAUUUUAAUAAGAAUAUCUCACAAAAGAAAGAUGAAGACUGCUGAAUACAUGUAACUUAUAGGGCAGAUUGACAUAAACACAGCAAGUCCAAGUCCCACCGAAACUACAGUGCAAUCUCACCAUGUCUGAUGUUUUUGUGAUAUCAUAAAAACAACAUAUGACAUGGCAUAUAGUUGUGUGUGAAACCCUGGCAUAGCACUAUCUCAUUGCACAACCACCAAAGAAUAAAUUUAGUUAUGGUUUAAAAAACUGGAGCCCCGAAUGCCAAUGCAACUCUGCAAGCUACACCAUCCGUGUCGGCUACACUAACCAGCUGCAAUACAAGUUUGAAUACUACAAUGCAUUUCUACACUAAUUUCAAAGUUUGAGGCUGCCUGCAGGCUUAGCAUUUCCAAUUGGGCUGAUAACCUAGUUACGCAAUCUAUUGUUACUGAAGUCACAUGUAAACACCCAAACAACAUACAGCACUAGUGAAUCUAUCCACUAUUGCUUAUGCUUCCCACUGUAGUCAUGCAGCAUCAAAACAUGGAUACUAGUAAUUAUUCACAUCAUCAUCAGGCAUCCCAACCAGCAUCAAAACACUUCUCAUGCUUCCCCCCUCCCCCAUCGUUCCCCACCUGCCACGGGCCAGAGCCCACACAACUUGGAGCGAAUUGCAGAGGCGAACAGCCGAGAGAGGAACAAGAUGAACUACGGCGCGCGGAGUAGCGGAAGCCCUAAAUCCCUCGUCCGCCGGAGGCAAGGUCAGCUGCCCUGUCACAGGCUAAUCGACGGAACGCCUACUCAAGCCGCUUCAAUUCUAACACGGAAAAAGUUCUACUCCAGAGCUCACGUACCUCCUGGGGGUAGGGGAUGUGUCCUGUGCGGUGGCGCUCCGCGUUCCUCGAAGGCAGCGGGCCGAGAGCUCGAGACGACGGCGACGAGGAAGGCGGCGGACGGAGGCUAGGGCUUGCGGCAGCGGCGAGAUAUAUUUGGGCCUUCCCGGCGGCGGCCGAUGCUGCUAGAAGCUUAUAGAUGCCACCAAGGGAUCUUCGUUCAAACCCGUCCUCUUUCCAAUCGGACGGCUGUCGACUGGGGAAGCGGGACCUCUCGUUUUGGGACACUGAGACUCUGGCCCCACAUGUCGGUCUCACAGAUCUCAGCGUCCGGCGCCCUUUUACCCCUUCGUUCCGGCCGAGCUCGCCGUCGCCGCCGUUGUAGGGCGACUUCGACUUCCGCCGCGUAGCUCCGCUAUAGGGCCUGAGGCAAUCGUUCCCUGCGGCGGCGGGUGAGAUGGAUUCGGGCUCCGGGAAGCCCGAAGAGGUGGCCGCCUACCAGAGCAGCGAGGCCAAGCAGGCGAGGUUGCAGUCCAUGCUCGCCGCGCUCCUCGACGACCCUAUACUCGCGGACGUCCCUAGGAAGCCCUCUCUCGCCGACGUCGACACGCUGAUUAACCUCGAGCUCGGCAGCGCCAUGAGGGUGACCGUUGUCAAGUUGGACAACACCUCCUUCGGUACACCUGAUCCCCUUCAGACCUUACAUUCUGCUCACCUUUUUUUUAAUCUCAAAUUACCAUUCCAGUAGAUCAUUUAGUCCGAGUAUCCUGCCUUUUUAAUUGAACUCGAUUACAUAUCUGCUUCUUUUGUCCCUGUGAAAGAUAUCGCAUUGUCGAAUGCUGCCACGGUCAAGGAUCUGAAGUUGGCUAUCAGGAAGAAGAUCAAUGAGAUAGAACAAGAGCAGAUGGGGCAUCGUCAUAUCUCAUGGUAUGGAAACAAUCUUUCCUGUGGACCAUUGCAUGCUUCUAAGUGGUUUAUGAUGCGCAUUGCUCUUUGUAAUGCUUGUUACCUUGGCAUCAAGGCUGGGUUGUCCUAGUGGAUCUUUACUAUGUGAUAUCUCAUACAAUGGACCUGAGCAAUUAGGUACUACCUCCAAGUAAUUCUGGCUGGAGAUAGGACUAUGUUCCAUAGUGUAUACACUACAUUAAGAGACAAAAACUGAAGUUUAUUUUGAUUUUUAGUUUCAUUUUGCACUGAGGUUCACCUGGUUAGUUUUUUCUUCUUAAUUUAACAGGGGAGGCAUGGUCUUCUUUUUUAUAUUACCCUUUAUUAUAGUAAUGGUGCGUGUACAGUAAGGAAACGGAGAAUACCUGUUUGGGCUUGAAUAGUUGAAUGCAUUUACAUAUGGCAAACAAGCCCUCUGCACCAUAGGUUUUUCUUUUUCAGUUGGAACCUAGGGAAAAAAUAUCUUUCCAGGAUUGUUUCGUUCUUUUGAACUAAGUCUGCUGUGUACACACAGAAGUUGCUGGCCUAAAUUUUGGCUUUCAAUUAUUCUGAAGGACGUAUGCAGUAUUUUCUACACCGUCUACUAGACAAAUACAUGGUAUCCUUGGUUCCUAGACUCUUGAAGCUUUCCGUCAAGCAUUUUCAGGGGCCUUCCAAAGUGGCAAAGUAUGAUCCCAUUUCCAUGGUUUCCACGAAGCCUUUUUUCUGAUAACAUUUGUACCGAACAAUAUGGACAGCAGUAGUCACUUGAAAGAGUUCCUCAAAUUAGGAUUAGUGCUCCUAAAUUAACGGAAAGUGCGGUCCCUGUUAUUGGAGUAGUAUGAGGAUUGCAUUGCUGUUAUGGAUAACUAUAAUUUCUGGAUGGGACAACGAUUUUAUUUAUAUUCUACAAAUUCAGGGGGAAAUAAGGAUCCCAUAGUAAGUUUGUGCUGCCGUGCCUAUGUUCAAGCCCGAAUAUAUGUUCUGUUAGAAGGAAUAAGCAUAUAACUGAUCGUUGAUUCAUCCUAAUGAUGGUAAUUAGGUUCAGUGUUUGUGACAACGAUAGCAACAGCUAUUAAUGUAGCUUGACAAUAUAGAUUUGGAAAUUCGGAAGUUCAAUUAUGCUUUUUUUAGAUACGUUUCUUCAUUAUGCUAAUUAGGAGGGGUCCUAUAUAAACUUUUGGUUAGUGGCCUUUUGUGGAACCUUUUGUCUGUCAGUGUUUCUUAUUGUUUAGAUAAUGACAAUUCUGAACUCUACUUUUGCGUGUUUUGCUGAUUCUUGUGCUGUCAUACUAUUUCUGUUUGAUGCAGGAAGCAUGUAUGGGAUAACUACUGCUUGACACAUCAUAAUGAGAAGAUGAUAGAUGACAGUUCUACACUUUCUUCUCACGAUGUCCGUAAUAACUCUAAGGUAGCUCUUUUGUUAAAGAAAUACAAAGGUUUCUGGUUAUAUUACAGAAAAUAUCCAUGUUCAUUUCUGGAAGACUAAAUAAGUAGCUAAUGAAGAGUGUCCCACUUGCUUCUGUCAGGUGGUUAUAAUAACCAAGCAUCAACUGAGUACUAUUGCUAUUUGAUUUGACCUUAUCUCCCAGUUUUGUGUACCCCUUUUUUAGUUGUCAUCUGUUUCUGUAGUGUUUUAUCCUUAGCUCUAUGUAUUUGUCUGGGCCAUUAAUUGUGGCCAUUGUAGUCUCCCGUUUGCAAUACUUUUCUGUAAACUUUUGGAACUCAUAUAAGGUAGACUGUAGCCGCCCUAUCAAAAGAAAAUUGACCAUAUCUGCUCCAUGUAGGUCUGUUUCUCGCCACAUAUCAUGUCCAGAGUGCAUCGGAAGCACUCUAGAAGAAGAAAACACCGCUUCUUCCAUGGACUUAACAAGAAAUUGUGAUCGCAUCUCGUGAGUUUAAAGCUGGAGAGCAACAUCCUUUUCUCAUAGGAAGUAGUGUGGUCACUUCAAACUGUUAGUGUUCGGAAAGUUCUGUCAUUAAACUGGAAGCAUAUCUGAUGGAAGCCCUUUUUGGGACACGUGUAUUCAUGUUUAAGAGCUGAUCUGGUCGUGUAGCUUCUUGUGAUGUGUUAAACUGAUUUUUCAGUACUGUUAUAUAUUUGUUCUAGAGAAGUCUGAGAAAUCAUAAUCGACUCAUGUUUUACUUUACUGCAUAAAUUACUGCCUUUAUGCUGAUCUAGCAAAUGUGGAACGUUCUGAACUGAAAGUGUUCGAAAAGUUCUAGCUAUGUCAGUAAACUGGAAGCAUAUAUAUGUUCGAAAAGCCAUGGAACCUAUGAAUGUUUGCAACGCAGGUCAUGCAUGUAUUCUUUACUAGUUUAAGAUCUGCAUUGGUCGUGUAAGUUGUUUGGAAGUGUUCUAGUAAUUUUCAGUUUAACUGUCUGGGCUAGGAGAACAACUGUUCCAUGUUUGUCCUGGAGAAGUCUGUGAAAUCCACAAUCGGCUCAUAUCUUACUUAACAUUGGGUUCAAACACAUGCUUUGAGAGACAAAAACAAAGAAACCAAACCAAACAUAUGAGCUUAUAUGUACCCAAAUAAGAGCAUUUAAAAGAUACCAGGAGCAAAUGUCUUCACGGGAACUAGGGGACACUUUUUUGGUGCAACACUAGACAACAAGUUCAACAAAAAAGUGGUCCCGGGGCCUCACCCCUGAAAGGCUGAAACUGAAAAACUAGCAGUGGUAGAGAGACAUCACUCCAGCUGGGACUACAAGACACAAAACACGGCUGAGACAAUAUCAACUCUCAAGCCUCAACAGAACAGGUGAGCAGCAAGCACGGAAAGCAGACAGACAUGGCCUCAGUCCUUUUUCUGGAAGCCACAAAAGGGAGGGACAAGUUUGACACAAGUGUCCCCAGACACACAUUGCAGCCACCACCAGUCCACUACAAACUCACUGCACCACACUGUUGUACUGGAGCACACUGCAUGCAGUUGCAGCUGCAUUCCUUUUUCUUCAGACAUGAGACAUGCUUCUAUAUAUAUAAAUAUAUAAAUCCUUGAUGCUUCUAACAGCUAGCUACUAGCUUAUGACAAGGACAGGGUACUAGUAUGACUUCUACUUUCACCAGAAUUCAGAGACAUAAAAACUCUUGCAGACACAGGCAGAGGCAGGAGCAUUGUGCUCUUCCAGUGAGCUGCAGUGGCAGCUGAUGGAAGCUCUCACAUGGUCCCUGCAGGGUAAGGGGAGCACCAGGAGCUCAGGCUCAGCUCCAGGGAUGCAGUAGCCGCUGAUGAUGCGUCAUGGCUGCUGGGCGGCUGGCUGUUGGUGGUGUAAAAGCUGUACUGGUCUUGCAGCUGCAGCAGCUGGUGGUGUUGCUGCUGGAUCGUAACGGAAGUGGUGGUGGUGGUGGCGGUGGCAGCCGUGGCAGCGGCACCCCAGAACGGCAGGGUGGGGUAGCCGCUACCGCCGCCGCCGCCGCGGAUGGCGUCGCCUGCCGGUGCUCCGCGCCGCGGCCGCGGGGGCUGGACGUUGUCGCCAGUCGGGAAGAGAGGGAGCGUCUCGGGCGCCCGCGUCAUCGCCGGUGCCGCCGCCCACGAGUCCGGCGACGAGAAACAUGCCCACGGCGAGGCCGCGGCGCCGCCGGCGCUGCUGUCGUGGUGGCCGGCGGUGCUCCUCAUCACGCCCAUGUAGUCCUGCGCGCGCACCGUACGGACCCAAGAAUUAACAAUGUGGCGACACGGAUUGGGAGGGACAUGUCGAUCGAACCGAAGUGUGGACGAAGCGUGUACAUGCGCAAUUACGUACGUACCUGCAGGAAGCAUGUCUCGGUGGCCACGGCGGUGGUGCUGCCCCAAUCGGAGCUCGUGUCCAGCUGCAACGCCGACGCGCCGCCAUUGCCGGGGUACAAGCCCAACGGGGAGGAGGGAGGCGCCGCGCCUGAUGAUGAUUUGAUGCCCACAUGACAUGCACAAGACGCGACCAUCACAGUUUGCAAAUCACACGUUUUGAUCGAGCACGCGAAAUGCAAAGCAACGCGUACGUACCUGAAGGCGACGAGAGCGAGAGCACGCCGAGGUGGCCGACGUCGGCCGCGGCGGCAGCGGGGACGUUGACGUCGAGGUUGGUGAGGCGGCGCUUCUGGCGCUCGCGGGCCUUGUGGUUCUGGAACCAGUAGAAGACGUUCUUGCCCUCGAUCUUGCCGUGCUGGCGCAGCAUGGCGGUGAUGCGCUGGAUCUGCUCCGAGUUGGGCGACCGGAUGCCGCACCCGUAGUAGAGCUCCUUGAGGAUCCUGAUCUGCUCCGGCGUCGGCGUCCACCGCGACCCGCUGGCGCGGCACGCCGCCGCGCCGCCGCCGGUAGUGCCUCCCGCCCCAGCACCGCCGCCGACAACACUCUUUCCGCCCACAUUGGCCGCCAUGCCUUCGACCUCCUCCCACAACCCCUGCCUGCCGAGCUGCACUACUGGUCUUGUGCUUGGCUGUGUGGCUGUGAUCUCUAUGGCAAGUAUGGAGAAAGGGUUUGCCUUGGCCUUGAAGGAGGAGAGGCAUGAGGAGAGGGUUUAUAAGCAGGAGGAGGCAGGAGCAUAGAGCUAGGGGCUAGUAGGGGGCUAGGAGCUGCAUGCAGUGCUAGGUGCAUGGAGAUGAUAUAGGCUUAGGCUGGGGCUGAGAGGAUCAUGGGGAUACGAUAUCUUUUGGAGAGGGACAAGUGAAGUUGACACACGAGAGGAGGGGGUCUCUUGCUUUGAGCAGAGGCAGAGCUUGGCCGGCCGCUUCAAUUCACUUGGAACUUGGAAUAGAGGAGGGAGGAGCAUGUGGGGAGGACGCAGAGGGCGUACAAGGCCAGGAUCCCCUUGCGGCAACUGCUUCCUCCUCAGCCUAGCGUGGGGACGCAGGCCUCUCUUCCAGCUGCUGGUGCAAAGGCUACCCAUGCAACCAUGCCGUAGCUCUGCUCCUGCAUACUACUAGUACUAGUGCAUCAUUGCUCUUGCAGUUCAGUUGCUCUCUCUCUCUCUCUCUCUCUCUCUCUCUCUCUCUCUCUCUCUCUCUCUCUCUCUCUCUCUCUCUCUCUCUCUCUCUCUCUCUCUCUCCUGCGUGAUAGAAAAGGAACAAGCCGAGACGUGUUCAUGCAUGGAUGAUCGAGCUGGGUCUGGGGCAAACCAUAUGUGAUCGAUGUGUGACUUGAUGUGGCCGGCUCUUGUUGAAUUGUCUGCUUCCUCUGAGCAGUAGCAAUAUCCAGUUCUUUGUGAUCAGAUUGAUUGACCGGAAAUUUUUCCCCUGCUGCCAUGAAAAAUCUCAAGCAACACGCAAUUUAGAUCUGUUUUUGCAAAGAUCCUGGAAUUCUUGUGGUUCAGCACUGAAAAUCUGAAAUAGACUACUCAAUAAUUUGGAGUGCAGAUCAAUUAACAACUGCACGGCCCUUAUUCUUCACAAUUUCUUCAUCUCUAGAAGUAGUCCCUUGGAACACGAGGAUAUUCUGUCAUGAUUGCUCCAUGGACAGAUGAAGUCGUAUAGGUACGCGCUGUAGCCUGCAUCCAGCAUAAUAUUCCGGGCGCAUUGAACUAAACGCACACUUUUUUCAGUACCAAUGCGUGCGUACGGAGGUGAAGUCUGGCAAACGAUCCCAGCAGAUCGAUCAAGAGUUUCUGUGCAACUAUGUGGAAAUCUAUGCGUGCGUAUGCUUGUAGUUUAAUCACUUCCUGCUAUCUGUUCUUCGGUCACCUAAUCAUUAUCCGAUCAUUUUUUAUGAACUGGUGAAUGGUGAUCAUCUCAUGGCCAUUAUAUUUCCCAGCCAUGAGUUUGGUUAAGACUGCGGGUGUACACCCAAAUCGUAUCCUCUUCGAGAAUUUUUAGUGCUCCAUGCUUGUGCUUCGACUUUUUAGCGUAAUUUCCGACUGGAUCCUCCACGCCUCUACCACCCCAGUCGGUGCCCUUUCCUCCUCUUGAUCCCAUUUCUAUGCAUUCAACGAGUAUGAUCCUGUUUGGAUCCAUCCCAGCUAAACUUUAGCUAGCAUGAUAAUUCCGUUGUCAUUACAAAUGUCUUGAACCAUCCCUUCUUUCAUUUGUUAGAAUAAACCACGCCAUGGUGUUCGUGGCCGUGGCAUGUGUCGCGCGCGCGCAUAAGGAGUCUGUAGCAUAGCAUGUCCAUUGGUGUACGAGUUCGUGCUCGUGUUCACGUCCAGUGUCGACUAGGACGGCGUGUGUGUGCACUCACGCCGAUAGGACAAGUCAGGGUCAGGACGCCGGUGCGGCCGCGUUCCAAGUUGUAUCGAUCACGUUGUGUGGUGCAUGCUGGUUAGGAGCAGGGGUGGCCAAGUUGUUGAUGCUUACGGAAACAGCGGGAGAAGUGCCACUUGCCUCACGGAUAAAGAUGGUGACCGAUUCUUGCGCAGGGAGGCAGUUGCUCACGAACCGGAAGAAGCCGGGUCACCAGGAUCGUGCGUGCGUGGGCGUCGAGUCCACCGGAGUGGAGUGGCGUGGACGCUGCGUCGCCGAGAGGCUACAAAAGGCCAUGUAAUCUCUGUGUGUAAGCCGGUUCGAGUCCUCUUGAGUUGAGCAACAGCCAAGAUACAGGCCGUUCGACGGCCGCGGCGUUCGUCGCCAUUACCUGCUAUUUGUGCUCACUGUUCAUCUUCUACCUCCGUUCAGUGCGUGAGUAAUAGAUCCUCGGGCUAGUUCCAACAAGUGGUAUUCAGAGCUAAGGUGAUCGAAGAUGUCGUCCCUUGGGCCGAAGAAGCCACGCAUCGAUCUUGGCGACGACGACGGCUCUAGCAGCUCACCGCAUCCGGUCGCGGUGGCGAGCGCCACCACUGUCGAUUGCCGCUGCUGACCAAGACCGAUUACCAUGAGUGGUCCUUGGUUAUGCAUGUAUCCCUGGAGGCGAUGGAGCUUUAGGACACCGUGGAGGCAGUCUGCAAGGAGCGCGCUAAGGAUCGGCGGGCGUUGGCCGCCAUCUUGCGCGUGGUGCCGUCGGAGAUGAAGGUUGGGCUCGCCGUGAAGAAGUCGGCGAAAGGAGCAUGGGACGCGGUGAAGAAGAUGAGGGUCAGCGAUGAUCGCGUGAAGGCCGCGAGCGUGUAACAUCUCUUGAAGGAGUUUGAGAACGUCACGUUCAACGACAGGGAGUCCGUCGACGACUUUGCGAUGCCCAUCAACGGGCUUGUCGCCAGCCUGCGCGAACUUGGCGAAGCGAUGGAGGACAACCAUGUGGUGAAGAAGAUCCUGCGCGUGGUUCCGAAGAAGAUGAAGCAGAUCGCGGUGGCGAUCGACUUCAACACGACGUCCGUGGAGGAGGUCGUCGGCCGGCUGCGCGUGGAGGAGGAUGCCGACGUCAAAGAAGCUGCGAACGACAUCAGGCGGCUGCUUCUCACUGAGGAGCAGUGGGAGGCGCGUCGGCAUCAGCGCAGCGGCAAAAAGCGGGCGUGCGACAGUGAUCCACGCCAUGGCAGUGGCAAGAAGGGUGCUGGCCGUAGCGGCGGCCUUGACCAGGAAGACGACGACGAUGAUGGGGGAGCAACAUCAGUUCGGGCGCAAGCAGGCGCCAACGCAGCUCUGGCAAGGGCAAGUGCUUCAAUUGUGGUGUCCGCGGCCACUUCUCGAGGGAGUACCCCAAGCCAAGGAAGGAGGAAGCAUUGUUUGCCAACGCCAAUGAUGAGCCGGCGCUCCUGUAGGGCACGACGCGCGGCGGUGUCGUGGUUUAGGAGUUUGCUAGAAUAAACCACGCCAUGGUGUUUGUGGUCGUGGCAUGUCGCGCGCGAAGGAGUCUGUAGCAUAGCAUGUCCAUUGGCGCAUGAGUUCGUGCUCGUGUUCGUGUCCAACGUCAAGUAGGACGGCAUGUGCGCGCGCUCAUGCCGAUAGGAUGAGUCAGGGUCGGGACAUUGGUGCGGCCGCGUUCCACGUCGUAUCGAGCACGUUGUGUGGUGCGUGCUGGUUAGGAGCAGUGAUGGGCAAGUUGUUGAGGCUCACGGAAACAGAGGGAGAAGUGCCACUUGCCUCACGGAUGAAGAUGGUGGCCGAUUCUUGCGCAGGGAGUCAGUUGCUCACGAACCGGAAGAAGCCGGGUCACCAAGAUCGUGCAUGCAUGGGUGCCGAGUCCGCCGGAGUGGAGUGGCGUGGGCGCUGCGUCGCCGAGAGGCUACAAAAGGCCAUGUAAUCUCUGAGUGUAAGCUGGUUCGAGUCCUCUUGAGUUGAGCAACAACCAAGAUACAGGCCGUUCGACGACCGCGGCGUUCGUCGUCAUUACCUGCUAUUGUGCUCAUUGUUCAUCUUCUACCUCUAUCCAGUGCGUGAGUAAGAGAUCCUAGGCUAGUUCCAACAUCAUUCGGAAUUAAUCAUCAUCUAUAUGUUUCAAAUAAAUAUUUUAUCCAUCACCUUAAUUUGUUUGGGACAAGAUUUUCCAUUGUCCAAAUUAAUAACUUGGACAAGUUUUGAGAGAAAACGUGGAGUCUCCAUUCCCGCACAGAAUAUACCUUUUCCGGCCUAGCCAAGUAGCCAGCAUAUGAGCCGCCCCUGCACAGUGAUCCACAGUGCCGCGCAGAACCCUAGCAAACAGCUAGCUUGCUAGGUUACCUAGCAUUUUAACUGACUUGAUCCUUGAGCAGAUCACGAAAUCACCACAUCGCUGCGGCAUGGAGGACGCCUGUAGAAUGGGAAACGUCUCGUCAGUCAAGUAAGAGAAAGCACGCCGGUGGACUCGAAUCAACAUAAGAUAUCCAUUCUCAUGAUCUUUCCAUAUGUAAAAGUACCUUUUCAAAAAAAGCAAUUCAUAAAAGGUAUUUCAGUUUGUAACAAAGCAUAUGUGUGCACACAACUCUGUCAGAUAGGCCUUUUCUUUUGAAUGGCAGCCACGGAAGAUAGGAGUAACUUGUUUGUAUGAGAGACAAAUGCAUUGCAGGUGACUGUACUUGGCAGAGGAGACAGAACACAUGCAGGCAGGCGGUCCCCUUGUGAUAUUAUAUUCUCAGUGAUGCAAGUUUGAUCUCCUAUCUAGCUCUUCAUCUGAUCCUCACCCUCUCCAACAAGGAGCUGAAAAGAGGAGCAUGAUUGCUCUGUAGAAACUUGUCUCCCUCUUUUCCCCUUCCUUCCCUGAACCUAUCUGUCCCUAAAGAACUUAGGUCCUUCCUAUUUGAGGCCUGUUCCUUAGGUCUGCCCAGCAGCAGCACCUCCUUACUCUGAGAGAAAGAGAGGAGAGAGAGACAGACAGAGAGAGUGCAAAAUGCACUGCAUAUUUGUGAUCCCUGCAGCAAGGUAGUAGCAUGUGUAAACUUCAGUUAGGCCAUCAAGUGCUUCUUGUUUUGUACUGAUGAUAGGGAGAGGAGGGUGGAGAACAUCCCUGUGGCCACACCACACAUAGAAUGCUGGAAUGCUAGCUGCAACAGCAACGGCAACACUCGGAGAGAGGGACUGGAGUGGGAGAGCAGUUGCUAUCAGUACAAGCAGUCUAGCUUCAGGCAGUUAACUGAAGUUGAACUGAAGAGUCGUACCACCACCACAGCUCCUCCAGACCAUGAGUGAGAGACAAAAGCAAAGGCAAACAAGAUCAAAAGAUGAUGACUGAGAGAGCAGGUAGCGCAAGCAACAGGAAAAAGAGCAGGAGAGCCAUAAUUAAGAGAAGUUUCUAUUCUGGGAUGCUGGGGUUUAGAGCUGCAGGUUGUCUGUCAGGGAAACUAAUGAUGCCUUCCAGCAACCCCAAGCACCCAGCUUGAAAGAAAGAACUCUUCCUAGGUACUAGCUCCGAUUUGAAUGGACCGAUUUUAUGCCUACUGUGACAAGGCAUUUUAUAAUAUAUUCUUGUGCCCCUACUGUAGUAGUGAAUGUGAACUCUACCUAGCGGCUACCGGCUACCAAGACAUAACUUAAGAAUCUAUGAAACUGGAAGGUUUCCGACCAUGAACCAUCAACUGUAAUUUGAGCCAAAAUUAAAUUACACUGGAAAGCAAUCUAAAGCACAAAAAAAAUCCUUCGACAUAAAAUACAGAAAACACAUUAGAUUCCCAUGAAAUUCAGAAGGACGUGCAGCAAAGCACGGAGGAGAAACAUGACAGAGCAACUAAUAAGAAACGCAAGCAAGACAUCUGAAACUACAAGAGACAAAACUGACAAAAGACAGUAUUGCUACUCUACAGAGCGUAACGUACUAACGUGCAACUGUUUUGUGGAUGCCAUUUUCCACACAUCACAAAAGACUUGCCUUUCACAAGUUGAGCAGCAAAGGGCCGCAAAAUCUCCAGCAGCAGCCCUUUCUUUCCGGCCGAACCCUUGUACACGAAGUAUAAGGGCGUUGGCGGAUUUCGGACAUCAACGUGGCCACCAUUGCAUCAGCAGGGCAUCUCUCGGAGUUUUACCUCCUCUGGACCAAAACAAGAUCGGUCCAGCUCAUUUCAGGAACACCCGACGCCAUCAACUGGAACCUGACCAAGCAUGGAGAGUACUCCACAGCUUCGCCAUACCUGGCGCAGUUUCAAACUUCAACAUCCUCGAACAUGGAGCGCCUUAUAUGGAGGAUCUGAGCACCACCCAAGUGCAAAUUCUUCUUAUGGCUCGCUUAUCAAAAUAGACUCUGGACGGCGGACCGUUUAACCACGCUAGGAUGGCCUAAUCAAAGAGUAUGUAUGUUGUGUCACUCACAUGACGAAACCCUUUUGCACUUACUAACGAAAUGCCACUAUACUACUCGAGUCUGGGACAAAGUUUACGAGUGGACGGCUACACAUGUCCUGCCAAGAGGAGAUUUGACUACUUUUUCAUCGGUUAGCCAGUGGUGAUCACCAACCGGCUCAACGAGCGGCACCCCGCUAAAGGGCCUUAGAUCACUUAUCAUUCUAGUGUCUUGAGAAAUUUGGAAGGAACGCAAUGCUUGAGUGUUUCAACGUCAGUUCAAAAACGUCAGUCAACUAAUCGUGAAAAUCAAGGAGGAGGCACGACGUUGGAUUCUAGUGGGAGCCAAGCACUUGAGCGCUAUCUGCCACAUCGCCGAAUGAUCACGUUUCACAACGUCUUUUUAUAAUUUCUGUAUAUAUUUAUUUGGCUUAGACCUAUGUAACUAUCUUAUCUAUUAAUUAAUACGAGCCCGGCAAUUUCCGCGGGCCUACGAUUUAAAAAAAAGGGCGUUGGCGGAUGAACAGCAUCGGCAGACAGGAAGAGAAAAGCACCUAUCAAAUCGAGUUAUGGUAACCCUAGCUCUAGCGGUGGUAGCAGCUAGUAGGAUUUCGUGUUUUGUUCGGAGCGCCAAUCAUGGCGAGGGAAGAAGACGGGGCCGGGGCGUCCGCGUUGCGUACGUACCUUCCCGAGGCGGCUACACUGAAAACUGUAAGAAGCCAAUCCCUGAAUACUUAAGCCACCUCCGUCUCUAUCAUUUCUUGUCCUGCCGGCGACUACUUUUUUAGAGAUCUUUACCGGUGCCUUGUACCACUAAUGAGUGGUAUAAGGUAUAAAGAACAUCCAAGCCGUAAUCUGUGUUUAUAUUCACGAUUAUACCACAGAGGGAGAAGGAGCUACGUGCCCAAAUAAUUGAUGAAGCUGAAUUAUUCAGGAUAGCUUUCUAGGAGAAGAUGAUACAGAACUGAGACAAAUAAGGUCCACAACAGAGAAAGGGGGAAGGUACGUGAGAAAAUCUGAGUUAUUAGUGCAUUUAUCUAUAUCUGUAAUCUAAUUUAUUUAUUGCCAUGCUGCAGAUUUUUGUAUCCAGUCAGGAGAAAUUCCAUGCUAGCGUGGACAAGCAGUACUGCAAAUCGAUUUCAGAGCUCGUUUCACGAUUUUUUUUAGUCUGACAAAUUAAGUUCACUACAUGAUGUAUUUUGCUUAAUGAUUAGAUAUUAGCUAGUGUGUCAAGUACUGUUCUGCGCAUAUGAAGUGAGAAUCAUUCGCGAAGGGAAUAAUUGCUAAUGACAACAUGUGCAUAAAUCAUAUAUGCAGUACUUCAGUGAAACCUUAUUUAUGAACACGUACUGUACUCAUCUACAGAAAGCCAUAUCUUGUUGCAUAUGUACAAUAAUUACACCAUGACUACCAAGGAGUCACCCUUCCAGGACUGGACAAAGAGGCUCCCCAGUCGCUGAAGCCGACCUGUCUCGGAGGUUUCCGGCAGCAACUCAUCCGUCGAGGUACCUGAGAAGAAAUAGACGUUUAGUUCAAAACUGGUUUUCAGGACUUAGUACAAAGCUAUUUAAUAUUGAUUAUUUAUCUAGCAACUAAAGAUUCUGAAAAUACCUCUGCAUAUGAUACUUAAAUUAUAACGUUUGGCAGUAGUAGUGAAUGCAUCUUGACACAAUGUACCUAAGAAACUAGUAUAACAACAUUGUCAAAUUUGCCUCAGAGAACAGUAGUCUGGGAAAACAUAUAUUGAUUCAAUGGUCAAAUUCUACAGAAAGAGCAUAAUAGUGCAUUUGAUCCACACCUGGUGAGGUGACUGGUCUGCGACGUAUUUCAAAACAUCAAAGAAAACAGAAGCAGCCUUCUGUAAAUAAAGGACAACCGUAUCGGUGGUGGCUCGAGCUCUCAACUCAAGCAGAUUGCGAUUGAUUUCAUUCUCAUGCUGAGAAAUAUAUGGCCUAAAGAAAGUCCCAUAAAUGUAUGUAGUUCCCUGCAAUGAAAGAGCAUAUAUCAAUCCUAUGUACUAAACAUCUGUAAGGUAGAAGGUGCAUGGGACAAACUAAGUACCUUUGUCUUUGGGUACCACAAAUAUACAAAGAACAUCAGCUUUGCUUCUGAGUAAAAUGGUAGCCUUCAACAUGAGUGCAAAUAAUGUUAGGGACUCAUCAAAAAAACUGAAGGAAAUCACAACCUUAAGCAGUUUCACCAUGAUAUUGUAAAAUCUCCGAAUCUCUCCGAAACAGUCAGCAGGCAACUAAAAUCCUAGACAGAGGAAACAAAACUGAAUUUGGCAGAUUUCUUAUGGAAGCCAAUGUUGUGAACACAGAAAUUAUUAAACCACCUUACCAAUACUGACACCAAGACACCAAAAUAUGAGCUGCUCAAUCUCCGGUUUGUUCAGUUCUACAGUCUUGUAGCACUCAUAGGCAGGAUAGGCGCAGCCAAAGGCCAACCGACACGAAGGCAAUAUCAAACACCAGAAGAUAAAUGAAAUGUUAGUGUUAAAUUUCUUACCUCCGCUCGCGGCCUGCCGCGCGGGCCUCGCCGCCGUCCUCGCUGCUCCUGUGAGGCUCGCACGAGGCCGUUUACCCACCCUUCCCGCCGCUCCCGUGGGCCCACACAUCACCAAAUGAUGAGAGGUGACUAGGAGUGUGAAAGGAAGAGAGGUGACUGGGAGAGGAAACGAGUGAGAUUUCGAUUUCUAAUUUCUAAUGAAAUGCGUGUGAUUCCAAUAUUCAAAUGAAAUGAUUGAGAUUCCAAUUUAUGAAUAAGAUGAGGUGCUAUUUAUUAUUUUCCUAUAAUACCCUUAUACCACCUAUACUACUCAUAUAUACCAUCACCCAUACUACUUAUAUAUACCACUCAUACCACUAGUAAAAAUUGUAAAGAUUUUAGUAGUAUACUAAUCCUUUUCCAACACAGAAUAGCCUAAUGUAAGGCACGGGAAAAGAUCUCUUUUUUAAGCUGCUGCCGGUAGCUGCAGGGAUUUGUCCUCGUCACUUCAUCAGCUUGCAGCCAGCGUAAUCUGAAAAACCAAAAAGGAGUCACCAGAAGCUGCACACAUCUGCUCCGCAUUACCUGCACAUGUACCUCGAUCAGCUAGCAUAUAUGAUCGACCUGUUGCUUCAUCAAGCUAGCAUAGAUGAGAUCAGGAGAAACAAGCUCUUUCUCUUUCAGAUGGGAUCGAAUCGAUGCAGCUGAAAAGGAGGGCAUGCAUUUCCUGCAGGAAUAGCCGUGGAUAGGCAGCAAAGAAUCAAGGAGCAAUACUGCAUGCAGCACUACUGUUGCGUUGAGUCUGGGCCGGGGAAAUCUUUCAUGCUCGGAUUGCGCUGCAGAUCAGAAUUUGGGAGCAGCACGUGAUGGAUGAUUGAUCGAUGGAUGCAGGGAGCCGGGACAUGAAUUCUUGAUCCCGCGGCUGCGCCAAAGUUUGCGAGAUGAACAGCUCCCCCGGCCACCUGCAGGCUUCAGACUUUCAUUUGCAGGCUUGACGGCCGGCAGGCUACAUGCAUGGUCUCGAUCUCUCGUACUGUCCUGUCACCUCGUAUGCGUGUCGUGUGUAUCUGCGCCUGCGUUCCUUCUACUAAUCAUGGCCGCUGCCGAUCAGCGAGCAGGAUUCGUCGUCGGACUCCAGGCGAUCCGAAUCCUUUGUCGUGCACGCGUACCAAGUAAAGCAGACACGCAUAUGAAUCAGUAGAGAUUAAACAAAGCCACAAAGGUCGUCAGAGCAGAAAAACGGCCGGCCUAGAUAAUGUGAAUGGAAGGAGAAAGGUUCCGGUGAUCCAUUGCUUGGGUUGAACAAGAUAUCUUACUUGGGACUUGGGUUGAACCAUGAAUGGCUGAACUAAGCUCCAUGCGUCUACCGGAAAAUACCAUCCGAAGUUUUGUGGAGGUUGCCAAAUUGCACAUCUACCUUGUAAAGUUUCAAAUGGGAACUUAGAUUGAGUAUUUUUAAUUUUGAACUUCACGGGGAUAGAUACACAUUGUGGCAACCUCAUAAAAUUGUAGACCCAACAGUUCCUCGCAGAAAACAUAAAAAAAAAAGAAAACUCUAGAUCAGAAUUUACACCCACGGAGCCAAGAUUUAAAUCUCCCGCUAUAACUGCCGCUAUAGCUCGCUAUGGUACCACUGUUUACCCUCAUGUACAAAUUAGCCACUAUAUCCCGUUAUAGUCUCAUAUAGCGGAAUUAGCCACUAUAUCCCGUUAUAACCUCAUUUAGCUCCGCUAUAUCCGGCUAUUAGCUGUUUUAGAAUCGUACCGCUAAACUUCUUAGCCCUCUAUUUAAAACAUUGCACGGAGCACUAGGCUGUCUGACCCGUCGAGGGCCUAUAACAUGGUAAUACCAGUAACAUUAGAUAUCUUCUCCUGAUUGAAGAUGUUCAUAAGGUACUUGUGGUGGACUAGCCAUGGACACUGAAAUAGCUCGCUGCUGCAGCAGCCAGCCUGAACCAGCCUAUUGGCUAUUGUAGCCGCUGCAACUCUGCGUAGCGCCGAUCAGGCUGCAGCUGCUGCUUGGGCGUGCUGCGUGCACUGCAGCCGAGCGGCUGGUGCACUGGGCUGUACAGCACUACAGCUGUAGCAAAAGCAGAAAGCGAACACAUUCAUAAUCAUAAGCCAGUCUCGGUAAACAAGCCCAAGCCCAAUAAUUGAGUUGCAGCUGUUUGCUGCACUUGUAUCCUCUAAUCCCUUUGCUUUGCUAUCUACCCCUGAUUCCAGUUAUCCCAUACCGUAAACUGAUUCGGUAACUAUUGUAUCGAUCAGUUGCUAUUCGAAUUGAAGGUGGUGCUAACAAGAAGCCAAUUACCCUUCAAAAAAAAAAACAACAGGAAGCCAAUUGGAGUCAUGAAUGGGGCUGCACAUCUGAUAAGGCGCUUAUCUGAACUCUGUAGGAAAACUGAGCUUGCAAUGCAAUCCCGGCUCAUGCACAACUCACCUCCCACGGAGAACCUCGACGUCGGAGCUGGAUGAUUAGGGAGGACGCGCUGGCACCGGACUCCUCGUGGCGCAUUGGGUUUUGGCGCGCGGUUCCGUCCGCUGGUGGGUUCGCCGCCGGCCUCUCGACGUCACGUCACGAUGUGGGCGCGCUCCGAGUUGAGGCCACGUGCCAUGGAUGUGCUAUUGCAGUAGCGUCAGUCGUAGUCGGCCAGCGACCGGCAGCCGGGCGAGCCGAAGCGGGAGCUUGCUCGCUCGGGGAAACGGACUAACGAACUGAUCAGGAAAAGGCACCGAGAGCGCGGCAAGGACGGCGACCGUUCCCGGCCGGAGUGGCUCGGGCGCGACGCGAUCAACGUCUCACGCAUGAUGCGCUCGGUGCGACGGGCACGGGGCUCGCAGCGAUCGAACGGUAAAAAGCUUCCAGUGGCUCGCCGCCGCGAUCAGCAUUGCGCAUGGGUGAUGUCACGGUGGACAGGCCGUGAUUUGGGGGGCCGGCCGGCGUGCAGCCCGCAGCCAUGGCGCGGAUGCGACUUGUAUGGCCAACGGGCGAUAGGGUGGGAGCCGGGCGCGCGGGAGGAAAGGAACGUCUCAGUUUGUGAGCCGGCAGCCCGGCACGGCGCUCCGACGACCAUGCAAUGAGAAGGAACGUGGAGCGCUAGGGAUAGAGUCGCUGGUCACGUUCGCACGUGGCGCCAUUCGUUGCGCUGCGCGGCACCUGGAGCUCCAUGGCGGCCGCGGCGUCCGCCUUUCUCUCUUUCUCGUGUCCAACGAAACUCCAACCUUCGUCGACUUCGGGAACGGGGUGCGGAGACGAUCGGAGCGUAGAGGCACGGCCUGGAGGCGGGCUCGGGGGUGACCACCGGAGCCCCCACGGCCGCCAUCGCGACUUCGCGGCCAUGGCGGGUCCGAGAAGUUUUUGCACUACGACCCCUAAAAUGGAUCGCGACUAUUAAUCGCGAUCCAACUACUUUCAUAAAACACGCUAAAAUGGAUCGUUAUUAAUAAUCGCGAUCCAAAUAAUUGCAAAAAAGCCCCUGUUAUUUUGCAAAUGUACCCUUCUUUUUUUGCUGCAGUUCCUCCGUGCGUGUGCCCGCUUCCGCUCCGGUGACGGCGACGGCCGCUCGUCGCGACGAACUGGCCGGAGCGGCAGCUUGCUCGCUCCCGACGCAGUCGUGGCGUGAUGCGCUCGGUGUGGCGGGCACGGGGCUCCCGGCGAUCGAACGGUAAAUCGCCCGACGGCUCGCCGCCGCGAUCAGCAUCGAACGGGGGAUGUCGCGGUGGGCAGGCCGUGGUUUGGGGAGGCCGGCCGGCGUGCAUCCUGCAGCCGUGGCGCGGAUGCGAUUCAGAUGGAAGACGGGGACAGCAGGGUUCGCGCGCCGGGCGUGCGGUAGGAAAGGAACAUCUGGAUCAUUCUGUGCGCCGGCAGCCCGGCACGGCGCUCCGGCGACCAUGCGGUCUGGCAUUCCCUGUGCUGCCCGUGGCGGGUCUGAUCGGUGUGCCUCCUUGGAGAUGAAUGGUCAGCCGCGGAGGAUAUAAGCCAUGGACGACGGACUACGGAAGGCGUAGCCAAUCGCCAUUAACUUCUGCUUCUCCAUCGUUGCUUGCUGCUGAUAUUGGUGACCCAAACAAUGGCCACGGUACAUCCCUUUUUGCCGGAGGCAAAGAUGCGGAGAAAUCCUGGAUAAAAAAAAUCAUGGAGACUGCCAGUAGAGUGCAUCGGCAUGCUACAAGCUUUCGGCCUAUAACGAGGCCUCGAGAGGGAGAAAGGAAAAUGAGAAGGAGCUGCUUUGUAGGGACGGAAUGGAUUCAAAUACCGUCCACCCCUUAACCCCGAUCCGCUCCCAAUUUGCCAGUGCCAAAGUCACGCUAAAAUUCCAAGAAAAUUCACGAACGCUUGCAAUGCAUCGCCACUGCAUCUCACAAAAUUUCAGAUCCUAUUACGCGGUGCAGAGGGAGAACUGAAAAGGAGAAAUCGCAGUACGGGGUGGACGGUAUUUGAAAUACCGUCCACCCUAUGAAUCCCGAUUCGCCCCCAAUUUGCCGGUGCUAAAUAUACGAUAAAAUUCCAAGAAAAUUCAUGAACCCUCGCACGCUGUGCGGAGGGAGAAUUGAAAAGGAGAAAUCGCAGUACGGGGUGGACGAUGAUCAGCAAUUCUUAAGUUCAGUGUGUUCUCUGAAUUUUCGUGCCAUGCUCUUUCGCUCUUCAACUUGUUGAGAUUCAGAGGAACUGAAUGGACACACAAGAUUGAUUAUGCGACUGGCUGCUGAACUAGUAGAGUCAGAACUGGAUAUUUCCAUGUCUGAGUGUCGAUAAGAAUUUCAGAUUUGCAGGUCCAUUCAGAACGUGAAGUACAUCUUUUAGACCCGAUGAUGUUGCACAUUUCUGCAGAGCUGAAAAGCGUAUCAUCAACGGAUUGUUGCUAUUUUGAAUUAUAAUCACACCGAUCAACAGCAAUAUAUAGAUGCAAACGUUUCAAGUAUGUCGGUGACCAAGGAAGUGAGGAUAAUGAGAUGAAAACGCUCCAUCCUGUUCAUCUCUGAAACCCAAACAGAUUGUAACUGAAACUAAAGCUGCCACUACACCGCUCUGUUUGAUUCAAGUACGCUGUAACAUACAACCUGAAAUUGAAUUUCACCCGCCGUUUCAGACUUCCAGUGAUCGAAGUGCACGAUACAUGCCAACGCACAAGCCCUCCACCGCCGCCGCCGGCCCGCAGCUUCACCGUCCAAACCGCCGCCGCCAAGGCGAGGAGCGAUAGGGACAGAUUUGUUGAUCAUUGUUGGAACUGAUCAAAAUGGCCGGCGCCCCUCACGCACUCUCUGAUGUUUACACGCACGCCUAGCAAGGACUUCUUGCUAGCUUCUCUCGAUGGAUGGAAACGCAAGCUAGAAAAAGGAACAAACAGAUACACACUCGAGAAGAUUUUUUGCAGCACUGCACGCCAGCGCCCACAGCACAUGUAUUCUCUUCACCACGUGCUAACAAACGCUGAUUACAAGUCUUUAAAUAAACACACUCACGCACCACGUCCGGCUGCACGAUUCGGCCGAGCACUCCGUGGCUUGACCACUAAUCCACCUCCCUACAUGCAAGCCACAACUACCUGCAUGCUGGGCACCACUAACCAACACGCUAACAACUCUUCCAACAGCGAGCACUGAUCCAGUCCACCGACGAUGCAUGCGCCCAUGCAAUUUGACUGACCUCCUCUUCUUGCUCCUGAACUAGCGCCACGACUUGACCAAGCACCUGGCCGCACAUACCUGGAAUGCUAACUCCAACAACACACACGUACACAGCAUAGCUACCGAUCUGCUUGCACUUGCAUAUCCUAGCCACUACGCCAUGCUGCACACAAUCACGAACACAACUAAUAUGGACUCAACGCUACACUAAAACACAAACGAAUACGUACAACAAGAUUAAGUCUAACAAUCAUGUUCGCACGGCCGCCGUUCGUUGUGCUGUGUGGCACCGGCCACCGGGAGCUCCAUGGCACAUGGGCAUGGCAGCCGCGGCGUCCGCCUUCCUCUCUCUCGUGUCGUCCAACCUUCUUCGCGUUCAGGAACGGGCUAGCUUACGAGAGGGAGGAAAGCUCAGGCCAGCGGGGCGCGGAUGCUAUCUGCGCGCAGAUGCGGGGCCUGAAGGCAGGCUCGGGCCUCGGGGUAGAGCCGCCAUGGCCAGCCAUCGCGAGGUCCUGGCCAGGUCGGCGAGAUGUUUUGCAAAAAUCCCCCUCAAAUGGAUCGCGACUAUUAAUCGCGAUCCAAAUAUUUUUAUAAAACCCCUAAAAUGGAUCGCAAUUAAUAAUCGCGAUCCAAAUAAUUACAAAACACUCCUGUUUUUUUACAAAUAUACCCUCCUUUUGGCUGCAAUUCCUCCGUGCUCUCUUCCCCUUCCGCUCCGGCGACGGCGGCGGCGGCUCAUCGCGAUGGAACUGGCUUCAGACCCACUGCCUUCCCCUCCCCCCCACCCCUCCCGCUUAUCACUGGAUCUCGCCUGAUGCGUCCCUUUCCUCCGUCUCUCCACCAUAGCUCUGCAUCUUCUCGUCCCGCAGUCUUCGCCGUCGUCUGGCAGGGUGGGAGCCUGGGGGCGCCGUCACGGCGCCGAUCGCGAGUUCGUAGCGGCCAAUCAAAACAUUCUGAUCACUGAAUCAGUCGUAAAAUUUGAUCUACUGAAGCCCAAGAAAAUAACUGAAAAAGGCAACCAUGAGGUGCGCCAUGGGGACCUAGCUCUGGAGUUCAGAUCUUCAGACACUUCAUGCCGGACAUGCCCUAAAGUGCUUCUGUAGCAUCGGAACUUCAGAUUAGCAUGCUGGUGCUAAGUACUGCUUCAAUCGGCUCGAAACAAAACUACAGUGCGAACCAAAGAUCAACAUGAAUCUGUCAAAACAAAACGAACAGCGCCAGACAUGUUGGCAAAGCUACGCAAUUUGAGUGCACUUGGAUUGGGACAUUGGGUUAGCAUGUACAACAACCCAGGACACGAGUACAUGACAUCAAAAUCAUGACGUAAAUAGCAUACAACUGCUUGCUCUCGCUUCCCAUAAAUCGAAAGAACGAAAACAGAGAACCUCGAUUUUUUAUUAUGGAAAUGAUGUUCUGUACAAGCCUCUUUCUAAUUCACAACCUGUGGCGUGUGGCCCAUCCAAAUAGGCAAAGCAAAUAUGUGCACCGACCUCUCUACAUCUCCAUAGGGCAUGGAGCUUCACUAUCAUCCGUUCUCAUGUCCGUAUCUGUACGGGCAGCUGCUGAACAUUAGCAAUUGUUUCUUUGCCGCGAAACAAAAUUCAACGAUCUUCCCGGCGAACCCUGUUCGGAUCAGCCAUCAUAUCCAUCAUCAUUUUCUCUGGAGAGUCUUCCCAGUUGCCAAAGGUUUUGAGAUCAACCUGAAAGAGAAAUGGGAAAUAUCAUGGGCAUUGCUGCACACUUUGACAGCAACAUACAAAGUGAACGGUUAAAAUUUGCUCGGAGUAGCACCUUUCUUCGCUGCUCUGAGAAAAUAUUCUCCCUCUUCUUGUACAUAUCCUGUUGCCGUCUUGUUGCUUCUCCACCAAGUCCCCAUACCUCAACAUCAAGCACUGAAGCCUCAACAGGCAAGUAACCCUGCAAUCACAGAAAAAAGAAAGAAUAGAAUCAUAAUAUGCCUUAGGUAGCGGAAUAUAGAAACAUUCAGAACCGAUAUAAACACAUAAUGUGGUAACUGAUAGGUUAUCGUCUAUGAUUUGUGAAUUCUUCUUUGGGAGAGUGGAGUGGAAGUUGUUUGCCUAUUCUAGUAUUCUAUGGCCUGGUUUGGCAGUGAUGUUUCAAAAGCACAUCUGUUUUCCUACUUUUUGGAUAAACAACCUAUAUUGUGAAGUCAAAACAGAACUAAAGACUCCCCAGCUAACAAGAUUUUUGCAGACAAGCAGCAACAAACUAGCACCAAGACUUGUCUUCUGAAAUUACAAAUAAGGCAAAAAAGAAAAUGUGGAACACUAUAUAAGCAAUCAAAACAAUAUCUUUCAUGAUGAGCAGUACAUCUGAAUUUAACCUGAUUGGGGAUGAGAGAACCAUGUUGGUAAGUUUUGUCAACAGCAUGAUGGCGAACUACAACUUUAGAGAAGUCUUCAUCUAGAAAGAUCCUCUCAUUUCCAACUGUUCCACCAAAUGCUAAGCCGACAGGCUUUGGAUGUGCCUCAUAAACCCUUAUCUGAGGAUGCAGAUGGCUGUAAACGAAGUUCUUCUCCUUACCUGCUAGUUUAGAGACACAGUAAGCUACUAUCAGGUGUGACAAAGGCAUGAUAAGCAAGGGUCAUACCAGAUGGUGGAAGCAUGUGGAAUAUUGGAUGUGCGGCACAAAGGAACCCAGAGCUACCAUAAAAUGUGUCUUUGCUCUCAAACCCUUCCUCGGUUAAUACACCAAUCACCCAUCUUCGAUUAGAAUCAACAUUCUCAACACCACCUUUAGAGAAUGCUGAAAGCAGAAUCAGCAUUGGUCCAUUGUACCCCUCAACACCAGACCAAAACCGGCUCAGUCCUUUUCCAUGAAUUGCUGACCUACAAACAUAUAUUGUAUCAAGGUUAAUACUACCUAGAUCAGUGUGAGAACUAUACAAUGGAAUUCAUAGUUAGAUUAGGAAAAACAUUGGACCCACAUCAAUUAAAAAUUGCAGUGUUGUAUGAGAACUAGAUUAAACAAACAACCACAAGAAUAAAUAUCAUCAGGGCAACAAGUUACCUAUAAAGAAGGUCUUCUGUGUCCAUUCCAAUUACAGAAGCUGACAAGAACUUUUCGCUCAAUUUGUUUCUUAGGCUGAGAGCGAUAGCCCAUGCCCUUCCACGUGUUAGUAGAUACACAUCAGAAGUAUCAAAUGUUGUGUUAACGGUUGAAACAGAGCUUUCCUGCUUGUGAUGAGUUACUACAGUUAGUUCGAUGAGAUAAAAAGGCUCAGUCGAAGUUUCAUCAUUAAUGAAUCACAGACAUAGUUCCUUAAGAAAAGGUACAAAAGAAAUAAAGCUUCUAGUAUAAGCAAAGGUUUUGGAUCAGGAAACAUAUAAGAGUGUAAAAGUGAAACGUGAACCCCAACUCUCUCAGUUGUGGACCUUAUAAACCGAACAUCAUUAUAUGCUAGAAUCUGUGCACAAACAACUUCUACCAGAACUUUUUAUAGCUAAUGCUGAACCAUGGAAUGCAAAAGGAAUAAAUGUCCAACUUUCCUAGCAGAUUCUUCGAAUCUAGCAUUGCAGAAUCUGCUGAUAAUUGGAUUGCAGCUGGAGCAAAAGAACUUGGUUGUCUAUUUUCUGAGUAAUCAAAACUUCUAGAUUGUGAGCGUGUGUUUGCUCAGGUUGUAGGGUCUGGUUGCACGCUAAUCGUGCGUUGUACUCAAACUUUUCCUUCUUAAUACAAAGAUACGCAGCUCUCCUGCGUAUUUGAGAAAAAAAAGAAUCUGCUGAUAAUUUGCAGAUUGGGAUGAUCUGGUGACAAUUGUCCUUGCUAAUACCGGGUCAUGAACAACUACACUUAAGUUUGUCCAAACAAAAAACAAGGAGAAAUAGAACAAGGAGAAAACCCUUUUCAUAAUUUAGUAUGAUCCAACUGACAAUAAUAGCAGCAUUGCAUAAAUUCUACCCAUGAUACCCGAUACGAAACAAAUUCAUCCAAAAUUGGAUAGUAGCUACUAAUAAUUCUUCUCCAAUAUAUUUUGCUCACCUCUGCCGGAUCAGCCACCAACGACCUGAACCUGUCCUGCACAUACCGCGACAGGCAGUUCCCAAGCCCCGAAGCCGUGGAGAGCAUCCACGAAGUGAACUCCUGGACCUUCACCCCCUUGCCGCCACUGGGAAUCUCCCAGCCCCAAAUGCCGUCGUCAUCCGCGACGGCGCCCGCGGAGACGAGCGCCGACAGCACCAGGUGCGUCACGUCCGGGAGGAGCACCACGACGGGCUCCUCCGACUUGUCCCCUCCGUCACCCGAAGCCUUUGGGGCCGAACCGCUCCACAUCAUGACCCAGCACAUCCAGAGGAACGCCGCGAUCUCCUCCGGCGCGAGCUCCCCGACGACCUUCCCAUCCUCGUCGCCGCCCUCGUCCGGCUGGAACUGCACGCCGCAGGGGCCCCCCGUGGCGUCGCAGGCGGCGGCGUACACGCGUAGGAGCAGCGCGAGCGAGCGGGAGGCCGAGACGCGCGCGCAGCAGCGGUUGAACCCCCUGAGGAACGGGACCCACCCGGCGUCCCCCGCGGCGGCUCCGUCGGCGGAGAAGAGGGAGGCGAUAGCGGGGCCGAGCCGCGCGAGGAGGUCGUGGAAGUGGGGCGGCGGCGGGGAUCCGGGUAGGCGGAAGGAGGCGCGCGGCGGGGCGAGCGCGUCCGGCAGCGCGCCGGCGUCGGCGGCGGUGCGGGUGAAGGCGGCGCGGAGGAGCGGGAGGGCGAGCGCGGCGGAGGCGAGGGUCUCCUGCUCCCGCUGCUCGUGCGCCUCCGGGGAGGGGUUGGCGGUGGAGGAGGACGCGCCCAUGACUGGUGCUGUGCCUGGUGAGACGUCGCUGCCGCGGCGAAUCGGAGAUGCUGGGGCGGGGCGUGAGGAGAAUGGUGGCGUGGAAAGGUGGGAGACCCGGAGGGCCGACCCGUCCCCCCGGUCCCCGUCCCCUGGGGAUUCGAGGGGGCGGAGAAGGGGAGAAAGGAAGCGAGGCGAAGAAGCGGCGCGUGGCGGCAAGCCGGCAACGGCGGGAGGUCGCGGGGUCCGCCUCCAACAAGUGCCCCGCCGUGUUGGUAUUGGUUGAGAUCUCGGGCUUGAGGCUGCGUGAUUGGGCCCUGGAUCCACGGGGAGAAGCCGCGUUGGGUUCGCUGGCGUCUGGAAUCGCGUUUCGUAUCGUAAUAACAUGACGUGGACAAUAGAUUUUACGACACGUGUCUUAUAUGGAAGCAAGUUAUACUGCAUCUAAAUGGGAUCGCUUGCUGCCCCUUCCGUGAAACCGACUGCACGGGGACCUGAUGCUGAUGGUUUCCAAAUUGUAACAGAAAAUCCAGGCUGCUCGAUGAAACAAACUGGCUACUCAAUGCAUAACCGCCUCGUAUCGUAAGCUUAAAUUGUAGAACUAGGAAACAACUCAAUGAUCAUUCGUAAGUUUAAAUUGUAGGACUACGAAACAACUCAACAAUCAUUGUACAAGUUAUUAUUAUCAUACAACUCAUAAUAUUUUUUUAUACAAACAGGAUUAAGGAAUUAUAUAGCUCUACCGAACAACUUAUAAGACAACCCAUGAUAGAACAACUUAUAAGACAAUCCAUGAUACAAGUUGUCUGUUGAGCCAUCUCAAGAUUACAUGUCAAUGCAUAACGCCAAUGUACUAGCCCUUACGAGGAAAAGAAAUGUAACAUUCUCCAAGGCCCAAGCAAGAAUGACCCAGGGAGUGUUGUUUCUUGAGGGAAAAAGCGUGACACAGGAUGGCAGGAACAAUCAACAUAACGAGCGUAAUCUUUGCCAUACGCAAAAACAAUUUGAUUCCGUCUUGCCGUGAUAACCGUUUAAGACUACAUGUCUGUCACGGAAACACAAAAAAUCAAUUAUCAAGCUCAUAAGAGAAUACAAGCACAAGUUCGUCAACGAAGCAGGAAACCAUGGAGCUUCUUCAGGGCAUUCAAGUUCCCGCCAUAUAUGGAUAAUGGACUGAGACCGGAGGAGGACACUGUCGCAAUCAGCCAGUCCUCUUGAUGAUGUGCACCCCGCUCUCUGUAUCAACCACGUCGCUUAUCUCCCCCACCUUCAGAGCAAACGCAGCCUUCUCGAAAGCCUUUUGCAUCUUACCCCUCCCAAAUGAACCUGCAACAAUAACCAUAAGGUAAACUUAAAUCACCAUGGGUAAAUGGAUUUUCAAUUAUUUUGGCAAUAUAAUCAAAACAGCAUCAGAAAGGGUAUUUUUUGCGAGAUGCAUAAUGCAAGAUUAGAUUCCACAAUCAUGCCUUUGUGAUGACAUUCACAAAUAGCUUGCAUGUCAAUAAAUUUCUUAUAGUAGAACUGUUUAUAAAGUAAUAAAAUGCCAUCCUGCUGAUUACUUUGUCGAACAAGAGCAAGAUAUCAUGCUAUGCUUUCCUAAAAUGUGAACAGUACUGCUUUAAUGCAUGGUUGAUAUACAAUUAUACAUUCACCUACCAUUUGACAAAUCAUGUCUAACCACGUUGCAUUAAGAUCAGCAUAAGCACCAUUUAUAGAUAAUAACAUAUUCUAGUUUUUUCCCGACGCUACCAAUUAUCAUGCAUUCCUUAAAUUCCUGAUACAUUCAAUUCUUAGAUCCUGGCCUCUCAACCAAGUCCACCAGAUUGCUACUAGCCUACAAAAGCUGCUAGGCAAAUGAAACAUGUCGCCAUAUCCUUUCCUUUACUCCUAGGCAGCAUUCCGAAACCCUCAUCCAUUGCCUCCCUCUCCCAGAUAUCCCUAACACCAUUCUGCACCCUUUCAGAUAUCCUAUACUUAGCACCUACACUUACCUCCAGAAUACCCAUGUCAAAUCCCGUGUUGAACGACAAGAUGACAUGUGUUGGGUUAUCUUUUAUGUCCAAACAAAUUGUUCGAUUUUUCCAGCACAGCAGUAACAGGCCUGAAGCACCACCCAGACUAAAACAGGACCACUUCCAUAUGAAGCCAUAAGUGAUUCUUGUAUUCUCCUUAGACAGUACAGUGAACAGGUACUACAAUUGAAGCUGCCAAACUUUUAGUUUAUACAGACAUCGAUAUCUCUGAGAUUUAUUCACUCCUCAAAAGGAGCAAAUGUGGCAACUAAUGCUUUAACUCAUUCCAAGUUGGUUGGCAUGCUUCAGCGCCAUAGCUUGUUCUAACAAAUACAAUAGUUACCUUCGGAGAAAAAAAAUCUCACUAGAAAAAUAACAGUACAGAAAGUUGAAGACACAAAAGUUGUUGCAGUAUUUGUUCAUGAUAAAGUUGGACAGGAGUCACAUGACUUCCAAAAAUAAAAACCAUGCACAGUGUAUACCAAACAUAAGCCUUCAAUCCACAUGUAGCGAAUCAAGCCGUUGAGACAGUUAAAGGGAAGCAGUAUAUAGCCUUACUUGUCAUAAGUGAUGUUACUAAAUUAGCAGCAAUUGUCAGUAAGGAGUGAGAUGUUUAUCGUAUGAAUUAGCAGCAACUGUGUGAACAAGGAGUGGAAUUACACUUUAGUUGGCGAGUGCAGUGCAACUGCAACAUGAACAUGCCAUUACUGUGCAUAAUUAAACACGAAACUAGAUUCAAAUACACCAACCAUCCGAAUCUACACGCCAACCACAACUACUGCAUCAAGAUGCAUCUAGAUCAGAGUGAAAGUUUAUCCACCAGAGGCAAACAUUUCCAUAUUUUGUACUCGAGAAGUUGGUAUCGUAAUACUCCAGAUCACGAUUCAGAUCAACAAGUUCUAUCCACGCACCCAAUUAACCGCUCACCGAAAAAGCAAACCCUACACAG